rnacentral:lncRNA from 1 species
CACACGCGGCACUGGCUAUAUAUCCCAGCGGCGUCAUCCCCUCCAGACGCACGACAAGUCGCCAACCCGGCCCAACCGCCAAUCAGCAUCAUCUUUCUCCUCUCCUCAACCCGCGACCGGAAAGGAAAGCAGAUUCCUCCGACGAAGAAGAGCCUAGCGGGAUCGGAGAUGGGAGGCUUCGACGUGAAGCAGCGGACCAUGGAGCUCAAGAUCGCGGUGAUGAAGGGCGUCAGGGUGGUCGGCGACUUCAGCAAGAAGACGUGGAAGAAGGUGAAGAGUGUCAAGCGCUGAGUGAUUGAUCGGUUGGUCCAGCGCUGGCUUGUGUUGAUUCGUAUGAUUGAUAGCAGGUGUGAUUUUGGUUGUGGUUGUAAUUGGCUUUGUUGGAUCUGUUUGAGGCACCUUUUAAUGUGAGAUUUUGCCUGUUUGUAUGGAUUAUAUUAUAUUUUUGUCUUCUGGUUUUACUUGAUUGAUCGUGUCUGCUGUUUUUUUGCUUGGUUCGUCUUCCAUGGGUGAAGUUUAUGGUGAAUUGCUGAUAGUUCUGUUGUUGUUGAGAUGUUUGGUCUGUUCUUGCCCACCUAACAGGCGAUCCAUCCAUAUCCUGAAAACUAUACACGCUAUUUUCAUCAGGAGGUGAAAAUCUGGCAGACUUCUCACCGUUACACAUUCGAUGAAACAAGGCUCAAACUUAUGAUCACAUAUUCUUACCGAUGAUUUUAUCUCAGCUAUAAAAGAAAACUUGGUUGCUAUUGAUCUACGCAUCACAAAAUUUUCAGUAUGAAAGGUUGCUGCGCAUCACAAAAUUCUCAGUUAGACAGUAAUACGAGCUAAGACUGGAGUAGUUUGCCUCUGCACUACAAAGGGCUGGACAUACACGGCAGAUGCGUCCUUGGUGUUUAAAGUUCGACAGCUAGCCUCUUCAGACUAAAAAUUUAAGAGCUGAGCUGGCUGUGGUAGCGGAGCUGUACGAAAAAAAAGAAAGUCCUCAGGCAACAACUCACGGCACGAUGGCACACCGCCGUAUGCGGAAACAUAUGCUGAACAGCAGCAGAAAAUGUUUCUUACGCCUCGCUGUACUAGCUGAUGCAUAUAGCAGCACGUGAAACCGCUUUCAAAAAUAAAUAAAUUAUACAGCUACAAUACCAGCAUUUUCCAAGCCAAAACGGCAAAAUUCUUGUGCUAUUAAACAGCGGUACAUGCAUCACGGUAAGUUGCUCACUCUACAGUGCUCAUGAAGAUCUAACGGGAAUAACCGCAGGGAAUUGGAAUGUCCACAAGCCGCCUACUGCGGAGGAGCGUCAGGAUCCAACCUUUUCUGGAUUGCAGCUGCGGCCUGAUAAAGAAUAUGUUUGGCAUUAAUUAAAUAUACAUUUCGCCUCUAAUUACACUGGCAAGGUUAGAAUAAAGGGCAUACCUCAAAAUUCCCCAACUUGUACUGGUACAUCAUUUCCUCACGCAGGAGGGCCUGCUCCUUCAUUGCUUGAGCCUAAAAUGGGGAUCAAAGCAAGCAUCUAUGUCAGAUGACAGAACAAAAAGGUGAAAUUUUUGUAAACCCAUUCUAAGCAAGUGAAAUUUUAUGCCAACCCAUUUUAAUGUAUACAACCAUACAGGUAUUCAAUAUCAUGUACUCCAUCCCAAAAUAUAAGGCACAUUUCAAUUGCUUUGACCAAACCUUUGAGCAAACCUUGCCCCAUUAACAUGUGACUUACGUGACCAAAUCAUAAUCAUAAGCAAGUACUUUUGAUUAAGAAUUAAAUGAUGUAAUUUUUUGUCACAUAAAUUGUAUAUUGAUGAAGUAAUUCUUAGUCAAAAGCUUGUUCAAGGAAACAAAAAAUGCCUUAUAUUUUGGGAUGGGUAGGAUCAAAAUCAAAAAAUUGGAUUAAAUAAACCUUGAAGCUCAACACCCCUGGAAAUCCGAGACUCAAAAUUAAAGUAUAACAGAAGUUCGAAAAGAACGAGAAGGGGCAUCUGUAACCAAUUGAUAGAGCACAUGGCUGUGGUGGUUGAGGUCUCCUUGUAGAUUCAAGCCACAUACUCCCUAUUUUAAAAGAUCAUAGAUGCAUUCUCAAAUGAAUGGAAAAAUGAAUAUAUGCAUUCUUAAAUGAAUUGGUGGUACUUGGCAAGUUGGCAUCAAGUGACCAAGGAGAGCUUUCAGCUACGUUGUGAAAGAUUGAUCACACCUACGAUACAUGAAAGGCAAAAAUAAAGAGAACAAGCACUAUUUAGUGACCAAGACACUUCCAACAAGCAUUCUCGUAUUCGAUGCAAGUUCAGAGGACAGAUCAACAAAGAAAAGAACAAGAAUACAAGAAAAAAAACUGCAAUAUUCUAACCAUUCCAGUUUGCAUGGAGCGUUUUAGAGCUGUCACUUCUUCCUCCUUUCGGCGUUCACGUUCCCUCAACAGUUCUAUCCUGCAUGACACAUUUUUUGAGAGAAGUAAAAAAAUUAAUAGCCCAGACACAAUUAACUGUUAAUCUAUCUGUAAAACAUGAAGAUUGCAUGGCAUAAUGGGCUCAUAAUUUGAAAUUGCCGUAAAAUAGUAAUCAAAUGAAUGGAACCUAGGCCAUCUACUUUUUUACCAAAUGCUAUAAGUAGACUUCAGUAAUCUAUAAGUAGACUUAUGUAAUUACACUAAGACAUUCCAUGAUGUCCAAUGCUUUGCUAUUGCAGGUAUACACAAACUAAAGAAAUGUAUAUGUCCACAUACCGUCGCUGUUCCUCGUCAUUAAAUAUUGUGCGCACUGCUACCACACCAGCAUUCUUUAAACCAUCCUUUCUCUCUUUCUCCAUCAUUCGGUGAUGGUAAGCAUCUAAGUCAUAAUAUCUAAUAAGACAACAAAAGAAGGGGAAAGAUAAAUUCCCAUACUGAAUUACUAGCAUAUAUAUAUACACACAACAAGAAUCUAUGAAAAGAAGCAUGCAUUACUUUUUUGAUGGAAAAGUGGCUGUAUUGUGGUCUUCCAUAAAUCUGAGAUGCACAGAAAGAUGUAUGUUAAACAUCCUAUGAAGAUAAGGAAUUCCAGGGAAGGGCAAUACUUUAUUUCUAAGUUCACCAGAAGCUCAUUGAAUUAUUAAUUUCAUGGCAGUAUAGUAACAUACUCCUUAAACAUUUGUUUCUCUUCCCAAUUAGACAAUGCCUCCAAAUUGACCUGUGGCCACAUUCCAAAAUAAAUAAAUUAAGAUUAACACACGAUAUCGUAAAUAAGUAAAUACUCAACAAGAUUGAGUAGUAACAAGAUUGACAAUUUGGUACCAAUGUAAAAUGCACAGCAAUUUUCUUUUUUAUAACAAACGUUAGUCUACUCUAUGUGACCUGAUAAGUGAUAACAAAACUAGAAUAAGAGAGAUUGGCUUAACAAGAAUGCAAGCAAACAUGGUUCAAUAAGUUGGGAGAAAAAUGCUAAACUAAAAAUAUCAAAAGACCAAGAGAGAGAACAAUACUGCUCUGUUCCUCUAACAUUUAGGUCAGCCUAACUUUAUAAAAUUAAAACUUUUUGCUAAAAGAGAAAUAAACAAGCUCUAAUGCAUUGUGCUCAAAUAGCAGCAAUUUUCCUUUAACAAAAUUUUUUACUGAAAGAAUAGUAGUCUACCUAGAAUAACGAUUUCUUUGGAGCUAACUGGUUUGCCUAAUACUAACUGAAAAAUAUAUAUAUAUUAGAAUGGCGUUUCAUUAGUGGGGGACGGUUAGAUACACAUUGUUGAUCUGACAUUUUUCUUGUGUGCGUACUGCGUUCAAGUUCUCAAUAUUUCAUAAAAAUGGCAAUAUCGGUAGAAUGAUAGAAACAAACAUACCUGCUUGACUUCUAACAACCAUGCAGUGAACUCUGGUCGCUUGUUCCUGCAGAAAACAUCACAUGGUUGACCUCAUGAGAGAGUGGUAGAAGUAUAAAAUAAUUGCACUUUAUAAGAUUAUCUAGAGUCUAAACUCAUAAUAACCUACAGGAUCCAUCACUUAAAUCAUUUAAUCCUAUCAAAUAGUAAAAUAUUUCAGAAUGAUCUAAUCUCCAUUUCUGAUUCAUAUUGGCCAUAAGAGGAAUUUUACGCAUUGAAAUUUACAUAUUACACAUUUACCACUAGUAACACAACUGACAAGAUAAAUGAUCUUAGGCUCUUAGCUAUUACCAGUUUACCACAUUCUAACAAUCACUUGCACCAGGGUAACCAACAAGGAAUUGUGAGGCCUCAACACAAUGAAGGGCCAGUCCGGAAACGCCAGCGGUAGCCCACAUUUCCAUCACUCCUCGUUGUCUCCUUGCAUCCCACCUCAUCUAUGGAGCUGCUGUGGAAGCUUCUCUUCCACUGCCACGAUAUCCUCAAGUGAACUCACAGCUAGUCACCAAGGCAUGCAGGAGCAUGGCAAGUGGUACAGGCUCAUUACUACGUACGUGGCAAUCACAUUAGAAUUUGGUAGGGCUCUUCGCUGUCAAAGAGGCAGAAAAGCAACUUUCCAAUGAGAGCAUGUCACCUCCCCUCCUCUGUCCUCAUCUUUGUUAGAUGAUUUUUUUUUCUAAUUUGUGGCUGCUACAUGCUUCCUGAUUGCAGAUCGAGGAAUGAAGAGAGAAGGUGGAGGAGGAGCAGCCAACUAAGGCUUAGAUAGCAAAUUAAGAAGAAGCAGGUGAUGUCUCUUUUUGUUUUUGCUAGAAUUUAAAUCACAGCAAGAAUCGUUACUAUAAUGCAAGCUUGUGAUUCAUGCACAAGAUGCUUCUUUCUGAUCUGAUGCAGUCUGUUGAUUCAUGCAGCGCAGUAGUAGCAAACUAUGUGGAUGUGUUCAUCUGUUACACUUGGUGAUUGAUAACACAACAGUCACCAGUCACUGGUAAUCACCAUGUCAGCUAGCUCUGGAGGCAAUCAAUCCACAGCCAGCAGUUUGCUUCUGGGUGUUUCUAGUUCGCCGGCUCAACAACCAAGCGCAACAGUCAAAGGUGCCAAAGAAGGUGUGUGCUGCAGGCAGUGUCAUAGCCUGCAGAAAUGUUUUGUGGCAGCACGGCUAAGCAUGGUUGGCCGUAGCCUGACCCAUCUUCAUCACUAACUACAGUACUCAUCUUGUUAGCUAAUCAUGAAGAGUAUUCCUCCCAUAUGCAUCCAUAGGCUAUUCCAGCACACAAACAUGAAUUCAUAAUUUUCUACAUGCUGGUUUACCAUAAAACUAAGACAUUGCGAUCUAAAAACAAAGUAAUAGACAGGAUUCUCACCACAUAUCAACCUCACGGAUGAUGCCAUACUUGCCCCACGAGUUGGUAACUGCAGCCUUCUUCCCCAAAUCCUUCUUCUCAUCCUUCCUCCGCUUCUUCUUAUCCUUUUCCUUCUUAUGCCUCUCCUUCUCCUUCCUCUUCCUCUUCUCCUUCUCCUUCCUCCUCCGCCUCCUCUCCUCCUCUUCCUUCUCCUUCCUCCUCCGCCGCCGCCUCCUUCGCCUGUCCUCCUCCGACUCCGACUCGCUCUCCGACUCGGCGCUGGAACCAGAGUACGAAGAUUCGGACUCCGACUCAGACGACGAUCCCGAGCUCUCACUGCGGCUCCUCCUCCUGUGCCGCCGCCGCCGCUCCUUCUCCUUCCUCCGCCUCUUCCGCCGCUCGCCCGAGUCCUCGCCGGAGCUCUCGCUAUCCUCCUGACGCCUCUUUGAUUUGCCACGGUGGCCCCGGUCUCGGCUCCCCUUCGAACUUUCCUCCUCCUCGGCUUCUAGGGAUUUGCUGUCGCUGCGCGCCGCCUCCUUGCCCGCACCAUCAUCUGGGGCAGGUGCCGAGCCGUUCUGAUCCUUGGCCAUGCCUACCCGCCUAGGGUUUCGCCGUUUUGGCGUCGCGGAGGAGACGAGAAGAUCGAGAACAGGGGUGGCAACUGGGAACGCGAGGCGGAUCGGCUGGCGAAUGGCGAAUUGGUGAUGGCCUGCUGGGCUUCGGACUGCGGGGUGUGCGAAGAGGAGAGAUAGCAGCAAAACGUUUCCACGGCCCCUAUGAGGCUAUGACAUGUGGGCCGUUGCUCGUCUGUACUGCUGCCUCUGUACGCGUCUCCCUUCUCCCUCACGCGGCUGCCUCCCUUCUCUGAGGCAAACAAAACUCCAACCUCGCCGCCCGAUCCGACGCUCCGCCGGCCGGCCGCUGCUCGCAAGUUCUGUCGGUCCAACGCGCCUUGACCGCAGAUUCCUGCGUUUGGCCGGCUCUUGCAGCUGACGAACCCGAGAUCGGCACAUCUCGCCGGCUGCCGGAUCUAGUAGGAGGAGCCCGCGGGUGCUAUUAUUGCCUUCUGCGAUGACGAGGGCUCGGGACAGGACGGAGGAUUUCAAGGAGUCCGUUCGCGUCGCCGCGCUCGCCCAUGGCUACACUGAGGUGAGCUCAUGGGGCCCCUGAGCUCAUAUGCCCAACGUGACACCUCGGGAACCCGCGCCUUCUCUUCUCUGCAUCAGAAACAGUCUUCUCUCUAUUUACGGUCCGCUGUGUUGAUUUCUUCUCUUUGCAGGCGCAAUUGGCCGCGCUCAUGUCGGCUUUCAUCAUCCGGAAGCCGAACCCCAAAUCUCCGUUUACAAAAGCAGCAAUCAAGACGGUAGAAAUUUAUUCUUUGGCUGAUCUGUUUUUGAAUGUCAUAAUAACCGGAAACAAUCGCUAAAGCUUAUGGUACUGUUAGAAUGUGGGAGGUUUGCUAGUCUAAUUGCUGGGUUCUGUUGGUGUAGCUUGAGAGUAUCAGGGAACUGGAGAAGUUUAUAGUCAAGCAUAGGAAGGACUAUGUGGACACGCAUCGCACCACAGAGCAAGAGAGGGACACCAUUGAGCAUGAAGUAAGUUCCAACACAUCUAUGUGUUGUUUGUUCUUUACAUUUUCUUCUUGUAUUCUUGCAUGAGGAUUGAGGUAUUUACUCUAACCUUGGCUAGUUGCUAGGAAAUCUUUGUUAAGACAAUCUGAUUCCACAUGCCACAUAUUUUUUAUUGUUAAUGCAAAGCUGAGUUUCAGGUUUAUUUCAUUGCAAUAGCUAUGGUAGCAUUUAGAAUAAUUCUUGGUGAUCUCUCAUCGUGUCCUCCUUUUGCAUUGUGAGAGUUCUUUCUCAGUUCUUCCUUCAUAUCACAACUGUGUUAGUUAGGAUUAAAAUUUGUUAAGGAAGCAUAAUCAUUAUCCCCUUUGUUGCACAGCAGUAAAUAAAUGUGGUUCGUAUAUGUAGCACAUCUUUUUCUUGCUAUUAAUAUAUAUACAGGUAAGGAAUGUGUAUUCUUGUAAAUUUGGGCUUCCGCUCACGUUAUUUUCUCCAUUUCGUAUCUAUGUGAUUACUGAAAGUAUAUUAGGUUGGUGUUUUUGUAAAAGCAUGCAAGGAACAGAUCGAUAUUCUAAAGAACAGGAUCCAUGAAGAUGAGAAGAACAGAAGCGCGAAGACAUGGCUUAGCACAAGAGACGAGGGCUCUCGGUUGGACUUGAUAGCUCAUCAGCACGGUGUGGUAUGUCUAUUAUGCUUCCCACUGAUCAGCUACUGUCAGUUAUUGACAUCGAAACACAUCAUUGCUCUGAUAUUACUGUUCCUUAGUGUGUGUGCACACGUAGGUUGAAUAUGGUAGUGAAGUCUCAUUGCCAUGGUUAUGUCUGUGCAGAUCGUUCUCAAAAUGAUCUUUCAAGGUCUGUUGGGUUAAUUUAAUGUUUAAGAGAGAUCAUGAUAUUGCAAAAUUUAGAAGAAUCAAGUAGGAUUGCAAUUUUUGCCCGCUGCCAAAAACAUUCAGAUUUCAGAAUAGUGCUAGUGUUCCCCUUUUCUCUCUGUGUUGGUAAAGUUGUGCAUAAUUUGCUUAAUUUUCUCUGAAAUUUUAGAAGUUACAGGCAUUCAUCGUACAUGUGUUACUGUGCUGAUAAUAUGUACUGUGGGCAAAUCCUAAAGGGUACUUACUGCUUAGUAUAUUUACGGUGGGCAAUGUUUCGUACACGAGCCGGGUGUUCAAUAGACAUGUCAAAGUGAAUAAUUAUGGUCCUUUCAAGAAUUGAUAAACAUCUAUUUUCCAGAUAUUUGGUUUCAAUGUAUACUAUGCCCGCGGUAGCAGGAUAUGCAUAACUUCAUUGGUUGAUAUCAUUGGGUGGGCUAAAAACAAACACCACAUAACUGAUCAGUCAAAACAAAUGACUUCAAACAAUGUCAAAUUUCACUUUGUAGUUCAGAUAUGCGUCCAGGAAGCAUCAUGUAGGCAAGUACACGGCUGUGCUCUUUCUUACUGGCAUGUUCUCUAAUCUCUAUAUCCAAUUUGUAGCACAAUUAAGUAAUAUUUUCUGGACUAUCCUCCUUGCAAAUAAUUUUAUAGAUUUCAUAUGGUCAGUUCCAAACUUAUAAGCUCUGUGUUCUUUGUACAAUUUUACCAGGUUUUGAUUUUGAGCGAGCGUCUCCACUCAGUAACUGCACAAUUUGAUCGCCUUCGAUCCAUGCGUUUUCAAGAGGCUAUUAAUAGGGCAAUGCCAAGAAAGAAGAUUAAGAAGAAGCCAGAAAUAAAACCAGCUGAAUCAUCCAAGUCAAACCUUGUAUUACAAUCUGAUGUAUCGAGGGUUGGAGAUCAGGAGGUAUCUACUGCACCCUUAAGAGUUCAAGAACAACUCUUGGAUGAUGAAACUAGAGCUCUCCAGGUAAUAUUUUUAUGUGAUCUUACUACGGGUUAGUGUAAGUCGGGUUAUUUACUUGCCUAACUCUUGACUCAGGUGGAGUUAGGCAACCUUCUUGAUACUGUCCAAGAAACGGAGACAAAGAUGAUAGAGAUGUCGGCACUUAAUCAUCUUAUGUCGACACAUGUCCUACAGCAAGCGCAACAGAUUCAAUAUUUGUACGACCAGGUAGGGGAUCUCUUGUUAGCUUAAGCCAACAUUUGGUUGUUUCAUAGGAGUAUGUAGUAGAGGCUGGGAGCAUAUGCAGUGAAAUGGCGAUUUAUAAAUUUUCAAAAAUUCCAUGAAAAGUGUUGGUUAUGAAAACAUUCUCGAAAGAUUCUCAGGUAUACGUAAGACUGGUAUAUAUCCAUGCAAAAUUAAAGAACUAACUAGGGCUGAUUUGCGGUACGCAAAAUUUUCAAGACUCCACAUAUUUUGGCAGGAUGCCUCUAUUAGGGGCUAUAGAUUUUUGUUUAAUUUUGUGAACAGAAACAUACAUAUCCUGCAAAGAGGUACUCCCUCCGUCCCAUAAUAUGAGGCACGCACGCAUCCCUAGAUACUCAAUUUGAUUAAUUAAAUAUGUAUCUUUUUUAACAAAAAGUACAUCAUUAGAUUCGUUAUCAAAAGAACUUUCUAAUGAUAUAAUUUUUUAAUUAUUUAAUUUAUAUUUGAUUAGCUAAAUUGACAAUCUUGGGAUGCGUGCGUGCUUCAUAUUAUGGGACGGAGGGAGUAACAGUUAAUAGCAUAUAUAUAAACAUACAAGGUUCUACAAAGAGAUAACAGAUAAUGACAUUGGACACGCAUCUUCAUUAUCAUGCGCAUAUCAUUUGUUAUCAACUGAACCUUCAUCAGGAUACAUUCAGCAUCUAGGAAUUUAUAAUGACGAUCUUUACUUGCUAACCUGGUCCAGCAUAGCACAAGAUCAUGGUUGGUUUAUUUGCAAGAUCAUCAGUUUUGCCUGCAGAAACCGUAUCCGAAUUAGUGAGAAGCUUACAGUCAGUUGCUUUUUGUCACUGCAUUUCCAUUCUGACAGCGUAUCUUAUCCAUUUGAUUCAGGCAGUGGAAGCUACAAACAAUGUUGAGCGUGGUAACAAGGAGUUAUCCCAGGCGAUCCAGCGCAACAGCAGCAGUAGAACCUUUAUCCUGCUUUUCUUCUUUGUUCUUACUUUCUCUGUUCUGUUUCUUGACUGGUACAAGAACUGAAAUAGCACAUGUAAACGUGGUUCUUUAAAAUUGCGCAAAUGGAUUGAAUUACCACCGGCGUCUCCUAGUCUCUUUAGGGCUUUAGGCGGACCAUAUUUAUGGGCUAUUAUCUUGUUUCAUGCAUAUCGUUCACUGUAAACCUGAGAUUUUGCCAUUAUUGCAAACAUAGUCAUUAGCUCAAAGUGGAUUUGCUCCGUGCCCUGCCAAUAGGGAUGCAAGCAGGAUUCCGCGUUCCCACUUCUAGGCCAAUCUACAAAUUUUAAUCAAUUUUUUUGAACUAAAAUAGAAGUGGAAGAUAAGCGGGAUGCACAUGAAACUGUUUCACUGGACAAGCAACACUGCCGUUUAGGCUGCACGGUGUUCAUCGCUUCGAAGGCCCCUCCAUUCCCUUUACACGGACAAAAAUGCAGCUGGGCAACACUUUUGGUGCAAUAAAUAAUAUACAGGUACUCCGUACUGACUACUAAAUAUCUCAACAGAACUGUUUUGAUCGCGUGAACAUGUCGGCAAACUUCAUCACGCUUGAUGUAGUUCAACUUGACAUGUAACCAAGUAGACAGAUUACGGUGAUGUGCAAUUUUAUAUUGUUCUACAACUACAUGCAAAGUUCACAAUAAAGACAAGAUUUGAAAAGUUGCUCCAGUAACGCUCCAAGCCACCAACCAGUGCAGAUUGAGAUUGAAACAAAAUUGCAGUACAUGGUAGUGACAGAUGCAGGCAAACCAAACAGGAAUUCCUGAUACUGGCAAGACAAGAAUGGUAUCUGCAUUUCAGCUCCAAAUCUCGUCACAUUACAUCUCUAUAUCAGCAUGAUUUAGGCACAUGCUUAUCCAUAAAGGCCGUUGAAAGCGUUAACCAUUACCCUCUUCGCUAUAAGCAGCAGUCAUUAGUAUCUUGCCUUCUUUUUUCCACCGAGAAGCAGUAUAUUGCCUUUGAAUAUAUACAUAAGGUGUAUACUGCCCCUCUUGCUUCAGAACAAGAGCAGGCAUAGCACCACAAACACGAAGAGGAAGAACCAGAUGUGGUGCAGGGACCUCUCCACCUCCAUCUGCUGCCUUCUCAGUCGGGGGCCCAUGUUAUGAGCCGCGAUAUAGUAAGGGCUUGUGUAGUACAUGCUCGGAGGGAGCUGGCCACGGAAUGCCGAUGGAAGCACUGCUUCGGCCAUGCCUCCAAGCACCCCUCCAGCUGUCGAGUGGAUCAAACCACGUCCCAAUGGUGAAGGAGGAUGGAUGAAGUCGAAUUCAGUGGCACCGGAAUGGUGGUGGGCAUGCCGCAAUGGCCGCAGCAGAGGUCUGGGCUCCAUGUUCUGAUGGUGGCGGUCAUCAAUGUUGCUUUGUGUGUGGUGGUGCUCAGCAUUUUCCCGGUGCACCAUUGGCCGGCGUGGAAUGGCCAUACCAUCCAGUGAUUUCUUAGAGCUACCACCGCGGCCAUAUAGUGGCACAAGGCUGUCAGCAGAUAGUGUGGCCUUGCACACAGGGCACUGCUGCCUUGCGGAACUUCGGUUGUUACUGGAAGCUGAUUCCGCAGCUGGUUGCAGCCACUCGUAGAUGCAAGGCCAGCAGUAGAGAUGGCCACAGAGGGUAACAACUGGAUCUGCGGCGAAGUCAAGGCAGAUGUUGCAGUCAAAGGAGCCACUUCCAGCGGCUGCAGGCAUCUCCCCACUAAUGUUCUUCAUUGGCUUAUCGUCAGACACUGAAGGUUGGCUAUUGAUGGCAGCCAUGCAAACCUGAUCCAUUCUCCCAGCUUCCAUGGCAAUCAGGAUGCUAUCUGUUCCGGUUGAACAACUCACAGUACUGCAAUCCAAGAAGGAGAAGUCAGUAGCCAGUAGGAAUACGCAUAACUGGAAACGAUAAAGUUGAAAAGUUAAGCUAAUCAUGAAGCGGCCAAGGCUUUUAAAAUGUUCGUAAGGUGUGAACACCUAUCUGUGUGCAUUUAAGGACUAAAAAGCGAUACGAAACAAGAACUGGAAGGAACAUGGCAAGCAACACGGCUCCAUACAUCUUCAUCUAAACAAGAGCGGGUCCAGGUAACUGGCAGCAUUGAGGCCCACACCACAUCAUCCUGUCCUGAGAAGUCUAUUCACUUGCAUUAACAGGUGUGAUAAGUAGAGCAAAUGUUAUGUAAAGCAUCAAUUCCAUGUCAAUGUGCCAGACAAAAUCUUAGCACUGCACAUGGUUCUUUUUGCCAGCAAGAGACACAUUGUGGAAGAAUCCUAUCUUUUCUUAACUCACUGAGUCAGCAGCCAUGGGUUCUCUAAUUUUUAACUACAAUGGACUGCAGCUGCUGCACUCUUGUAUUAACCCUUAUUCUUAGCACCAAGCUACUAUGGUAAUUGGGUGUACUGACAGGUUAUCCAAUCAUACAUAUCUAUCGGGAUACUCGUAAAAGUUGAAUCACCAAACAAAUCAAACCACUAGAAUAUGUCCACAGCAUAACACCGCAAUACUUGACUGACCCAUGUUGAAGGCAAGCGCCAUGAUUGGGCCACUUGCCUUGGGAAGAAAAGGCAUGUGAGACAGUUUGCAUUCUAUAAUAGGCAGCUGUGAUUUGCGUAGUGGACUUACAACUUUGGCACGCCCUUACUAGAUUAACACUGAUCCUUGCUAAUUCAAUAUUCAGGUAAGUAGCCAUGGAAGGCCAACAAGGCAGAUUUGACUAAACCAAGAAGUAGUUGCAGAGGCUAAGACGCCCUGACCUAAUCUCCAACAUAAGCUUCCAUGACAAGUCUUAUCUUUUUCUGUGGUUGUGGAGUUCCUUUCACCAUCAAAUUAUUGAAAAACAACAAUGGGUGGGGAUAGUGAUGUGGAACGCAACAAUGAUGGAUUAGCUGAAGGACUUGGCAUAUUCGAUGGGGCCAAAUACACGAAAAGGAUCAUCAUUUAACAUAUCUAGGUGAUCGCAAAAAGAAUAAUAACCUAAAGAUAAUAGCACCUACUGUAUUAAGAUCGGGGAACAAUGAAUUAAUUGCCCAACUGCUUCGUGGAAAUAUCUUGAGUAGUAACUAAUACGUCCCCAUGUGUACAAGAAUUAAUAAAUUUUACAAGUGGACUUCAGUAAAUAAUUUCUAAAUUGAGAAAAUCAUCCUUAAUUACACCACGUCCCGCACGUGAAACCAAAAGGAGAUCAAUUUUCAGGCUAAUAGGAGCUGUCCCAGGGAUGCGACUAACCAACAACUGAUUUGAUCCUUCAGAAAGAAGACAAGUAAUCCAGGCACACAGAUCUGCUAUUUAUGAUUGCACUAUCUAGUAUCUAUCACUGCAAUUAUGCACGGCGUGAAUUUUCACGGCUGUAUAACGUAAACAUACUCCGAUAAAGAACGAUUCCCCUUGGGAGUAAGAACAUAUAAUACAAUUUGACAGCUCAAUGAGCAAUGGGCAUUUUACUGGACAUACCCACAGGUCACAAGAAUCACCCCCCACCCCAACCCCCUCCCUUCUAGCAAUUUAAAAGAUUCUACUCCGUACAACCGACUAUAACCCCAAUUGGAGAAUAAAAUAAAGUUUAUAACCACAAAUAUCUUCCGUAGACCAAGGAGCACAACAUGGAGCCGCAAAUAUAAUGUCCCUCAGAAUCGAAGAUGGGAAUAACGAGUUUAGCACUGCAGAUUUCCUAAGCAGGGGAAUGGGGUCGGACUGCGCCCCUAAACUCAUAAAGGAAUUGAACAAAAUGCCUCCUUUCCUACAGAAAACGGCAUUAGCGCGCGAUAGAAAAGCGAGGAGCACCAACAGAGCUACCGGCGAUCAUCUCCUGUUCACGGAAAAGCCCCUUUAGCAGCUGGUGCCAAGGGCAGCAGCAGUAGCAGCAGCAAGGCAAAACACAAAAGCUGCGGAGCUAAACCAACCUAAUGGCGACACCCAAGAGCCCUUCAAGGGGGAAAAAAAAAGAGGUGCUAGAAUCGAACAGAGAAACGCAAUCUACACACGAACAAAAACAGGACGGAAAAAAAGAGGAGGUUUAUUCGGCCGACCUUGGAAGAAAUCCAAUCCGUGCGCGCGGCGACUGUUGCCGGCUCCUGGUGUCCAAGAAUCGGGAGAGGGGAUCAAGAAAGGAGGCGAGAAUCGGGAGAUUGCGGGUGCUGUGUCGCUGCGAGGAGGAAGGAGAAGGAGGGGGAUGAGAUUAGGCGUCGACGUCACCUGCGGAAGAGGGCGAGAGAGAGAUAUAUAGAAACAGACCCCGAGGUUGGCCGUCCGAUCCAGGUCGGACGGCUGUGAUCGGGAACGGUAGGCGCCGUCGGUUGCCUCCAUCGGACGGUGGCGACGAUUUCCCACGUUACUCUCGGUGCGGAAGCUUCCUGUUGAUUUUUUUAACGCGGGAUAAGAGGCGAGGACGGCGGUUUCGGUGCGAGCAACUGGAAAAAGGAUACUGUUUCGGGAUUCCCUGUGCAAUUUCAUUAAGCUGGAGACCCUCGUGGUCUUCUGGAUAAACUGAAGCGAGCCAUAAACUGGUUGAAUCGGUCUCUGACUUCUCUGAUGCCCCAGAUUCAACGAGGUUAACGUUACUGCCUGUGAUUGAGCCAGGUUGGACUCAAUGCUAGCGAGGUCCGUCUAGAAAGAUGCUAUCUGCAUCUGACGAUUUAUUUGAUGGCGAAUUUAGAAUUUUGCUGGUGGGUCGCUGCUCACCUUGGCGCUCCCUAUCCUGCGCCCCUGAAUUCCACCACGGAUCUGGCUGUCUUUACUUUAGCACACAGGAAUUAAUCAUGUAGGGGAUGCGACGAAGAACCAAACGCAUGCGCGAACCGAUUAGCUCGGCAUUGUCUGGUAAAUUCCAGGUGGAAGAUACUCCAACGCUUGUGCAUGGUUAACUGCCAACUGUAAUAAACGCAUUGCGACCUAUUAAUAAAAGUGAAAGCUCCACCAUAAGAAUUCACUAGGUAACAAAAACAGCAUGUCCCAACAACAGAAAGCAUCGGACAGAUCGAGACGAGAGGAAAUCCCGAGGUCUGGCCUGAUGAACAGAGAAAGAGUAACGAGGUGGAGUUAACUCAAAGAUAAAGCGUUCUGAUUGGUGUUGCUCCUACGACUAGGACACUGCAUUGACACCAUUUGGCAAAAACAAUUUUAUUUUCUUUGCUUAUGUGGCUCAUUUUUUUUUCCCAGAAAAAGGUUCUAUGAGCUCAUUUUCACUAGAAUUUGGCCAAACCUCAGACAACCAAUUCAGCUGCCGGAUUCCGGUAACAUCAAAGUUUUGCCCUGGAUUUUAUGUGCUUCAUCUAGACACUGGGUAAACAGGACCGAGCUCUUGGUCCGUUCUGUUCGGAUCAAGAUAAGGCCUAGCCGUAAACCCGUACGUCCGCCUUUGUUUAGAGAUCUGACGAGUGACAUAGCCAGGACCCACCCAUCGCGUGGCUGGCCGUUCGCAAUCACCACUGCUCUGCACACGCAAGCAUCCAUUAUCUUGAGCCGAGAUUUUAUAUGCGGACAAGAAUAUAUUUUCGAAAGGUUAUGUUCGGGCGCUGUCAACGCAUAGACACCACCGUGAUGAUUACCCACCCGGCAAUCACGAAUCAUGUUCGUUUAUUUGUUAAACUCUCGCGCAAGAGCGUAAUUUUCUAGCCUUAUCGUGUACGCCCUUUGUGGGGAUGGAUGGCUACCAUGGGCCAUGGCAUUGUUGGUUUUGGCAUAGGCAGGCAGACUAGUCAUAUCUGUUUGCCCCACUGAGAAGAUAAGCUCGGAGUCGCAAGUGAUGUCACGGGAGUUCAAGCGCGCGAUGGAACAAGCCAUGUGCCGUUUUCUAACUUUAUCGUGUCAGUACAGUCACAGAAAUAUCCACAAGGUUUAAGCCCUGUAGUCUGUAGAGAGUUGAAAGAUGCGAUCGCACGUACACGGGCAGGUGAGUAUGAUUGAUAGGGUCAGCCAGUCCAGUAGUGAAUUUUCCUGUGUGCAUGACCGGCCAACGACCUCCGGCUUUGCGAAAGAUGCCGGCCGCUGAACGGACGGAAAGGGAAAGCCCAGCCGCCGAGAUGCCGUCCGGGAUCCCGGGUCGGGGUGGCCGGCCACCUCCUCCCCACCGUUCAGCUCUCUGCACGAGCACGACGGCUGCAACACUCACUUACUCAAGUCAUUGGCGCGACAAAGGUUAGUAGUACUGCUCCAGGUCCAAUGACGUUGAAGGGGAGAGGGAGUACAACGUUGCCAAUUGCCAGGUCCAAUGACGUGCCGCGUGCCGCGAUUACGGCAUCCGGCAACAGCAACGGUGCGGAGAUGCGCACGUUUCCCGAGAGGCCGCACGUUCGCCGGCUCCAGCCUUGCGGCAUUCUCUUCGGCCGGCCGGGGCCGGGGAACCAAGUGGUCGUUGGGUUGGCUUCCCCGGGUCACUUGUUUAAUCCCGGAGUGGACGUGGCCGCUGGCCAGUUUAUUCGGCGCAAUCCCGUCCCGCGUCGAGACAGGUGAGAGACGAUAAGGCACGGGCCGGAGCGGUUGUUGGUGCGUGUAUAUGUUUGGCUCCCCGUCCGUCCACGGCGUAGGUCGUAGGAUAUUGCAGGGCGCGUCCCGUGUGCUCAUUCGCACGCGUAAUCAUUGGGCCUAAUCUGUUGUUAGCCGGUGGGUGGGUGCGGGGAGCGCCGAGGGCGAUCAAGGGACACCGGACCGGGUGGUGGAGUCAAGGCAUGUGAUUUGGUCUACUACUCGAAAGACUGAAUCAAGAGAUCGUUUAAGAAUAAGAAAAUCGAUAUCGGCCAAUGGCGCGGCGUGACGCGUCGAGCCGGUGCACGUUUAACACCCGCGGUAGCAGCAGCCGGAGCCUGGAGCCCGAAGCGGGGUUUGUUUUAGCGGAUCGGAUCCAUGUACUGUAAUCACUGUAUUAAUGCUGUGUGUGCCAGUACAACAACCAGGAGGAUUACGGGACCGACCGGCCGGAGCGGGGUUAUUGUCCGCUGCAUGGAAUCCGACGGAUGCGUGCGCCCACCAACAAAAGGGGUGGUCGAUCGAAUCGGGCAAGGUACAGGCCGCCCGCUGUUUAACAUCAAGAGACCGUGGAUUGCCCGUUUUGUUUUCGCCGCUGUUUACUGCAGCCUGACGGGCGCCCACGAUUGAUCUGAUCUACCGGUUCUCGUGGUCCUCUCGCUCAUUCGGAUCUCAGCAAGACGUUUAGCGAACCAGAGGCAAAGUUUUGUUCACUCGUGAAUGGGACGUAAUUACGAGGUAGGGGGUCAUAUACCUUGGUUUGGAAAACCACGGAGGCGGCGAAGUCAUCGAGUCUAGGUCAAGCACUCCAAUCCGAGAAAAUAGCCGGUAGAAGUGACGGUGAAAACUUCUUAAAAAUUACGUAUAACAGCCCUUUGGGUCAUAAUACAAAUGAAAUUGCUAUGGAAUACGUUACUUUGGCUCCUAUUCUACAGAAUCUCUAAUGUGCGUUCAAUCUUAUUAUUUUUCUCGUAAUCCCGGCACAGACACUGCAACAAUUCACAUGACAUGACCGGUACUCGAACCUUUUAAAGUUUGACCAGGUUUAUACAAAAAUCACCCACCAUCUAUGACUCUAAAUUAGCAAUGCCAAAUGUAUACUAUGAAGACAUAUAACAUGAUGGAUUUUAAUAAAACUAAUUUAGAGGCUUAGAUUUCGGUUCAUUUUCUUAUAAACUCAGACAAAUCUAGAACAUUUUAUAAAAACGAACAGGAGGAAUGGUAUAUUUCAUCUGAAUCCGAUUAGUGCAUCUGCAUCUCACCCACAGCCAUCUAAAAGAUGAGAGGAUCAAAUGAGUGGGGAAUUAUGCUCACAAAACAGUUCAAGAUACUCAAGCACGAACUGAGGUUAUGUGGUAAAGGAUCACAUAUGAGUGUAUAGAAUAUGACUAUUAACAGUCCUGUCAUAUAUAUCUACAGCCCAAAAGAAUGAAAAGAUGGAAUCAGGCUUCCUUGGUAAUUUCAUCACAAGACUUCCUCAUUCAUUUAUUGAUGAUACACAGAAGGUUAAUUUCCAAUAUUAUCUACACGUGGGUAUAGAAAGAUUGUGCAGAUGACGUCAAGUUUUCGAUGAUCUGACCAUAGGACGUGGAAUGCUAAGUAAACCGUGUCCAGGAGGUCUCUUCUGCAUUUUACCUCUCAGCAAAUUUCUCGAUGCAUGAGAUCAGCGUACUUUCAGGCACUGCUCCGAUCACCGAAUCUUUUUUCUCACCAUUCUUGAAUAUCAUCAUGGUUGGUAUGCUCCGGACGCCAUACUGACUUGCUAUGUCUGGAUUCUCAUCGGUGUUGAGCUUGUAGCAUUUCAACUUCCCUUCAUAUUCCUUUGAGAGCUUGCCAACAACUGGAUCAAUAAUUUUGCAUGGUCCACACCAUGAAGCCCAGAACUCAACAAGGACAGGAAGCUCACUCUCCAUAACAAGCGAUUGCCAUGUCCCUUUCGUGACAUCAGGAACUACAAAACAAGUGGACAGUAUCAUAAUGAACAAUUGUGAACACACCAGUUGAUAAAAAUACAGAAAUAAAGCCGAAAAAAUAACUAGCAUAGACUAGCAAAAGUAAAUCAUUAUUUUGCCAUGCCUAUGACACAUAUAAUGAUGAUGGAGAAAUAAACAUGAGGCAAACUCUAGUUAUCGAAAAGAAACAUUACUGGUACUGUUUGUAUGCCAUUGCGCCCUGUACAAACAUCCUACAAUCCUAUAGAAGCCUAAGUUAGUUGAUCUGAAAGAGAUAUGGAGGUGUGGAGCAGGAGGAUGGUCAAGUCUGAUAAGUUGGCAGAUUCAAACACUAACCCAAGUCCAAAAUCGGCAUGAGGUCUCCACAUUAUUUUCAAAAAUGGUUUCUGCAAACCAUUGAGAAUCCAUCAGAUUUCCCUAUUCAUUUUUUGAACUAGCAUAAAACUCUAAUUGGUAAAUAUACUUGUCGUACUAGGCUUAAACGGUUUCUCCCCAACCCGAUUUUGAACACCCCUACUACAUAUCAACCAUGAAGGUUCAAAGUUCAAACCACUGGAAGUGUACAGCCAGUCUGUAAAUUAGGUCAGGCAGAUCCCAUCCAGACAGAGAAAUCUGUUCAUAAAAGAUCUGUAAACCUCUUUUGCUGGCACAGAAAUAUCUUCCAAUUCAGAACGCAUAUAGCAUUUCCGUAUCAGAUAUUGAAACAGGGUCACUAGUUUUUCAUGAUUAACAGCUUCGUGAAUGUAGCGCAAAUACGUGUUGCUUUUUCUAAUUGGCUUUAAGGUGCUUCGCAUAAGAUAGCAGAGGUUUUGAAUUUCUACCAACACACAUCCGCACAGAACUACAAAUCAGAACACUGUAAUAAUGCCUUGAGUACAACAGGAGCCCAACUGUUCACUGUAAAUGCUUUACCACUGCAGUCAACGGUUCGUUCUAAUAUUGCCCUAGCACAUUGCCUGCUUAAGGUGAAUAAUUUGUACUUGAUUGUUUAUGUAAAUGAAUUAAAAUAUCAUGGUUUUCGCAAAAAAAAGAAUUAAAAUAUCAUGGGUGUAAGCCAUUAAUUUCAGCCUUUCAGGAGCUUCCAGCAGCAGGAGUUUUAACAUAAAAAAACAGGUAAAUGCACCAUUGCACCUAUCAAUCCAUCAUAGGCAUUUGCUUCUCAAUUAACUUAUGAUCCUAAACAAAUCAAAACAUAUAUGUGGAGCAACCCAAGAUUAGCUGCUUUAUGUGUCAGGGAAGAACACAUAAUUAUGCUAAAGGGGGUGACAUGGAUGAUGUGGUCCAGAAAGGAAGUAAUGUAUCACUGCCAUAGCAAAAUGGCCAGGAGGCAAAGAUGCAGACAUCUAUACAUUCAAAUAUUCAACUACCAUUGAACGAUCUAAAAUCGACAAUAAAUCAACUGUACCAGUCAUGUGAUUCUAUAUUUAGAUUCAGUUACCCUCAUUAAAACAGAUGUGGCAAUAUUAAUAACUGAUAUAGCCAAAUUUACCUGCAAUAUACAAGCAUUACGUUACAAGUGAGUUCGACGCACUAAUAGGAAACUAGUUGUUCAACGUUGGCCUAUUAGCAGUCCUAUUACAGAAGCCAGAUAGUUAAAUGCUCGAGUUAGUGUGCAGCAACAUAACAGUCAAGCUUGUGUGAAAGCUUCCGAGGAAAUAAAAUUGCAAACUCUGCAUUUAAAGAGGCAGAUGCAUGCCAGAAAGAAGGCGCCGAAGCAUCAACGUCAAAUGUUGCUCGUUCUGUCAUUCAGAGUUGCUAAAAUGGUAAAAUCCAUAACCUCGCGUCCACAACUCUAUGCCCUUAAAAACUCGACAUUUGCCACGAUGGAGGACCCAAACUGAUUCCCCGAAGCAAAACAAGUUAAGCUUUCAAUCCCAAUUCCAGACACAGAACUCGAAAACUUAGAAUAGAUCCACACAGAUGCAUUGAUCGGAUAAGUAUUUAAUCACCGAAUCUCACAACAGAAUACAGAUCAAUACGUGCGACUUGACGAGCUGGCGUCGUGCAUACCUUGGAUGGAGGUGUCCUGGCCCUGGACCGCGCACACGACCGACGCGCCACGGCCAACGCCCCGGCGGUUCCCGGCGAGGUCGGUGACAGCGCGGAGGGCCGGGGAUCGCGGGGCGCGGGUGGACGGGAGCGCGUGGAAGCGCCGCGCGCGCAAGCUGGCAACGAGGGGAGAGCAGGUCGCGGGGACGGCGAUGGCGAGGGCGGAGGCCAUGGGCGAUGCGGACGGGAUGACCGGAUGAGAGUUCCAGAAGCGGAGAAGAGCGUGUUUGUUGUGAUGCGCGAGGAGGACGGGGGGAUGGAUGGGGAACUUGGAAAGGGAAGCUGGGGGCAGUUCUUCCGGUGGGCGUCAUGUGGUGGCCGCGCGCGCUUCGGCUGGGCCAGGCUGGUGGCUCGGUUGUUGCAAACGGGCAAAUGACUCUUCCUUUCAGAGGUUAAAAACGCCUGAUGACCUGAAGUGCGAGCGAGGAGCAGAGUGUCACCUUUUGCAUUGUGCAUUGCGGUUGAAUGACAAAGGAUCAGUUCAUCAGUUAACAAUGUUACUCUAGAAAAAAGGUCCUUCUCAUUCCCAAUCACGAAUAAUGAUACAAUAGAGUUUGCAACAGUGUUACAUUCAUCGCUUGCAUUUCUUUUACUGCAAUACCUGCAUCUAAUGAAUCUUUACAGCAUGUGAAUCUGAAUGUUCCAGAUGCAGCAGCUAUAAAUAUGACACAAGAUGUAGUUCCUUCUUCCUCAUGCUUCCAUGAAAAAUUCGUGCUCUUCAUCCCCCACCAUCAGAAGAUGGGAUCCCAGGAGCAGCACCCUUCUGCCUUCAGUGUUGGCUGAGCUCAUAAGCUUGCAAGGAUCUACCGUGAUCUCCACGUUGGUUGCUUUGCCGGCGGCUGCAUAGAGGCGCUCGAAACCAACCAACUGUUUCAAAGGAAAGCCUGGAACGCUUGACUUCGAUCUCGUGAAUAGGAGAACAGCGUGGCUCCCAUCCAUGGCGCCGUCGUUGGCAACAGAGAUGUGGACAGAGAAUUUUAUGGAUUCACAUGAUGCAAUGUCUUCGACUUGCACGUAGUCUAGCCCAUCCCUCCGUGUGUGUGCACGCUUCGUGCUGAUAAAGUCUACAGCUGACGAACGUGACAAACUAAUUUUCGUUGGAGCCUGUAUGAUGUUGUAUGAGUAUUUUGAGUAACUCAGACCAUACCCAAAGCCAUAUACCACAUCUCCGGUGUAAAACCGAUAUGUUCUCCCAGGGUAACUGCGUGAAGGGUCGGCUCUCAUGUUCAUAUCGUUCAUUGGAACAGCGGUGAAGGAUUCAGGGUACCAGGUAAUAGGCAAUUUUCCUCCUGUCAUCACAGUGAAUCUGAUUAGUCAACAUACAAGUUUCUCAUUCGACUGCAUACAACUGUAAAUAGUUUACUGACCUGGAUUGUACUCUCCAAAGAGAAUUUCUGGGAGAACUUGUCCGCCAACUUCCCCUGGAUAUCCAAUCCACAAUACACUUGCAAUUCUUUUAUCUUGCUUCGCAAAAGAAACAUCAACAGGACCACCACCCGUGAUAACCAACACAAGGGGCUUCUUGGUUACACUAGCAAUGCUAUUUAUGAGGUCCAUUUGCUUGCCGGGAAGGAGAAGGCUCACUCUAUCAAGAUCUUCAGUCUCCUGAGUCAGGUUCAACCCAGCAAUCAGAACAACAAUAUCAGCUCUUUUAGCUACUUCAAUGGCUUCGCCAAAUCCAUCUGUUGAGUUACAAGAUAUAUCCUUACAUCCAGCAGCAAUGGUUGUUUGUGGAACAACGGCUUGCAUGCCUUUAAGAAAGGUGGUAGGGUUACAGGGAACUCCUGAACAAAGCAAAACUAACAUUAGUUUAUGUACUGUAGGAUAGUAAAAUAAGGGGCGUUUAAAGUUUAAACAAGGCCAGUGAUUUAGACCUGUGUAAUCUCCACCCAUUAUAUAUGCGUCAUUUGCUACUGGUCCGAUGAUAGCAAUAUGACUAACUUCGCUUCUCUUCAGAGGCAAAAAACUGUUAUCAUUCUUCAACAAGACAGUACCCUGCCUUGCAGCUUCUGCUGCAAGCUCCCUGUGCUCUUUCGUGCAAAUAUUGCUUGGCCCUAGUUGAGUGAACCACUGAUUCCCACUAGUCUUAUCAAAAAGUCCAAGACGUAGCUGAACAGAAAACAGAUUAAAAAGAGCAUGGUUGAUAUCUUCUUCUGUUAUCUUUCCUUUCUGAAUUGCUGACUUUGUAUGCCGAAUCAGGAAGGACCCACAGUUGAUAUCCAUUCCUUGAAAAAGAAGGAAUCAUAUUCAGCGAGACAUUCUGCUUGGUUGAAGGCUACACAGAAGGUGUUAAAAAAAAAUCUAUUUCAACAAGAUGUUGAGACUUAUUCAUGCUAAUUCUGGCAAGGUGUCACACUGGAAGCAUAAAUUAGAAUUAGUUGAACUUGCACAUGCUGGCACCAGGUAAAUUAGUUGAACUUGAAAACUAUUUUAUGUCUCUAAUCUCCUAAUAUUUGUUUAUAUAAUGUAUAUUGAGCAGAGAAUUCCUUUGAGAAGACAAGGCCAUAGUCUAGAAAGAAAGCAACAUUGUUAACAAAAGCACAUAUGCGAUGCUCGCCACGAGAGAGUUUCAGUCCACUAACCGGCUUUCAGAACAAUCGCUAUUGAAUCUUCAUCUGAAUUUGUGUAAUUCUGGUAUCCGUAAAUUAUUCCCACGGCAUCACAAUCAGAUACGACGUACCUUCAGACAAUAAAAUGAACACUGAUAUUAUGACAUUACUGUCAUUCCCAACAUAUCUAAUAUUUCAAGGCUCAUACAAUAGAGAACAAUUCAAAGGAGAGGAAGCAAUACCCUUGAAAUCCCCAUUCAUCCCUAACCUUCUGCAGUAGAUCUUUGCGGGCACAUGCUGGCACACCAUUUACCUGGUUGUAUGAACACAUCAAGCAACUUGCACGACCCUCCUGGAUACAGCUCUUGAAAGGAGGCUCAUACGUGUCCUCGAAAUCUUGCUCAUUGACCUGCCAAUAGUGGAUUUGCUCUUACCAUUCGCAUUAGAAGUUCAAAACAAUUAUUCAACAGAUUUCAUUAGUACUUCAUAUUAUUCUUUGAUUGAAUAUAUUGAUAAAAUUACAAUAUUAAUGGUCACUUGAAGCAAUAAUACAACAAUCAAAUAUUUCUCAGUCACUGAUACAAUCUCUGGGGCUAAGCAUGUAGUAAGUGAAACUGUAGGUAGUACUCCUAUUUGUUUCUCUGCACAUCAAGUCAUGGACUGGUAAAGUAGUGUGCUAAUGUUAUGUCCAAUUGUCUAGUAGUCCCUAAAUGUUACUGGAAGUUAUUUCUCGGCCAACAUCCAUAGCCGUCCGGUGAAGAUAUUUCCAUUUCUUUGUACAUACACAAUUCUCAAUAUUUCCAUUUCUUUGUACAUACACAAUUCUCAAUGAUCAGAUUGAAUGGUUUUUAGCGUCGACUUAGAAAUAGUUAUCCCCGGUUACCCCAAAAAUAGCAAAACCGUUUGAAAAAGUCAGCUGCCCAAUGACGGGCUAUUAGUUACGUUCUGCAUAAUUAAUGAAGUUGACAGCGCUGUCAAAAUAAUAGUGAAGUUGACAGCAAACAAGGCCAAUAAGCUGAAUACUCUGCGAAAACCAAAAUGAGCUUCACUAUAACAGAAGACCAACACAUUCAUAUGAGCAAACACUUCACCUUGGCAUUAAAGGUGUACCGCGUGAAGUUCCCCCAUUUCUCCAGAUCAUACGCGACGUAGUGCUUGCAGCAGGCGGAGAGCAUCAUCCUGCCUUCCUUGCCAUCGCCGUACUCUCCCUGAAACCCUUUCACAUACUCGACGGAGUAGGCGGCGAUGACGGCGGGGUCCUCACCGGGCGUCUCCUGUCCGCGGCCCCACCGAGGGUCGCGGAACACGUUGAUGUUGGGCGCCCAGUACGUGAGGCCGGCUUGGCCGGCGUUGUGCAUGGCGCGCGCCUCCACCGCGACGGCCUCCGCCACCGCACGCCACAGCGAGCGGUUGAACGAGGCGGCGGAGAGGAUGACCUGGGGGAAGAUGGUCGCGGCGCCGACGGGGCCCGAGGAGAAGUUGACCCCCGGGCCGUUGUCGGCGAGGCCGUGGAGGGACUCGGACCACCACUCGUAGGGCGGGAUGCCGAGGCGCGGGACGCCCGCUGCUGUGUUGGAGAGCUGCGCUAUCUUCUCGUCGAGGGUGAGGAGGGAGACGAGCGCGCGCGCGCGGACAGGGAACGGGAGGGAGGCGUCGCAGAAAGGAUACGAGUUGGCCGCAGCCGACGCGCACGCGUGCGCAUUCGACGGUGCGGCGGCGCCAGCGCCGGCGCGGGCGACGAGGAGGACCAGGAGGAGGAGCAACGGGGGAUACAUGUCGUGCUUCGGGGCAGAGGACUUGUGUCGAGCACUUGCCUUGCUUAAAUCUCCACGCCAGUUCACCUCUACACUCCAUCGCAUACGGUUGUCCGGUGCCUCGGCGCCUCGGCCUGGGAAGCUGGGAUGUGUUGCCGAGGCUGCUGAGCGGGACCGACUGGGCCUGAGAGGGUAAGCUAGAUAGUGUCUCGGGGGACUCGUGUUUGGUGCGAGAUGCCUGACGCAGCUCAGUUUUCUUUGACAUCGAUGACUAGGACCCGAUAACAAGACCCAAUCGCGUGCGAGAUCGGUCCUCAUGUCGCUGCGGAUAAGUCAUAUUUUUUGCUUACUCUGUUUUGAUAUGGUUGCCGAGAUGCUUGAUGUCUGCGUCUUCCUUGCUAAAGGCCAAGUAAUGACAGUUCUGACAUGUUGCGUUGGGCUAAUGGAUAGUAAUUGCGAAAGUUGGAGUUCAGAAUUCCCUCUCCUGUUCAGUGUUCACCUUUGCGACCCUGCGUUCUUUUCUUCGAACCUCAAAAGAAGGAGACCGCAUGAGCUUUGGAUACAUGUAAAUUUUGCUUACCUUUAAUGCACUGAACAGAUAGAUAUGUUCAAGUCAUCAAAAUCCAAUCAAGACAAGAUUUCAAUUUUUUCACUAGUCUCAUUAAUAUUUUUUUCACUAGUCUCGUUAAUAUUUUCUUGAAUUUUAGAUGUUCAGGGAGGAGAAAACUCCCCGGCUCCGAUGCAUAUAGCAAGAAACCAAGCAUAGUACCAAGUGUUCUAACUUCUAAGAUUAUAUUUGUUUGGGAUGCAAUUGUAGCUCAUAGAAUGAGCCGCGGCUCGAAAGUUAGAUUGUCUGAUGUCUGUUUGUUUCGACGGUUGGUGCAACUGUAUGAACAUAUCAUAACAUAGAAUACUACUAAUAUAUUUAUAAACACAUCUGGUUGCAAAAUAUGAGGUCAUCAUGACAACACAUAAGCUGCACCUAAUAGGAUCCUACUCUCUUGCGGCCAUCAGAGCAUUUGCAAUGUUAAUACGGGUUGCGUCCAUUGUGCCAUUGCCACUUUCCGAAUAUCUUCCAUGUAGUCCUCGUCAGUAUAUGAAUCACUCUCUCGGAUGAAGUUCCGCAAGACCAUACAAGUAACGAUAAUCCUUGCUUGCUUGAGGGUAGUAGGCACAACCUUCAACAUGAACCAUUUUUUGCUUCAAGACAAAACACAUCGUUCUAUGACAUUUUCUGAGUGAUGAAUGUGUAGCUCAAUAUUUUUUCCUAGCAUUUGCAACGGCGCCAUGUCGAAACUCUACUAGAUGAUAUGUUACAUAUUUCUCUCUACAUGCAAACAUGUCACAUCACUAGACCCACUAUGCACAUUGUCGUGCAAACAAUGUCACCUCAUCAAGUCAUGCAUAUUUUUUUUUAAAGCCAUGCAUAUAUUCAUUUACCUUUUUCAUGCCAGCUCAUCAAUUCAUACACAUCAUUUUUUCACAUGCUUCUUAGAGUUUAUAGUUUCUAAAUGUAAAACAAAACAUUUUUUUUUUACCAUUUUUCCAUUAGUGUAAAAUUAAUUUUAAGCAUCUAUUUAUACAUUUGUCUUAACACGGUUCAGCAAUGUGCGGUGCAUCAUCUAGUAUUUAGAAACGGAGGAGUAUUUCGAAAGAAGUUUUUUUUUAGCAAAAGUAAUAAAAGGAAUUUGUUCGAGGCAUACAAGCCUGGCCCAAUUGUGAGGCCUCGUCACGAUCAGUACCACAUCCAAUCAGACGGUCCAGAGAAACAUCUUUGGGCUGGACUGGACCAGAUUGAAUUCGGAUCAAAAUUAACACCGCUUUCUUGUCCCUACCAACCCCUCGCCAAGAUUUUCCCCUUCCAAUACCUCACCGGGGCGAUCACACGGACGGGUGACAAGCCGGGUGGUUCUCCCAUUCCUGGAACCAUCCAAUCGGCACGGCCGGCGUACGCGUAAACUAGGCUUUCGCACGCGCGAAACCGGCGGAAUUGCGGAAAGAAUCCACCGGCAUCCAUCAUUGGCGUUGGUGCACGGCACGGCACGCCAGCGGUGCAUUGACUUAAGAGACCUUGGCUUGCUUAGCCCUACCAUGCUACCUCCAUGUGAUGUGGUUGAGGCGGGAGGAAGACGCAUGCGAGUUGCUCCAUCUUCAACCCCUGUCCUUAUACUUAUAGCAGCUCCAUUUGAUUGGAUCUAGCGAUCUCGUCGUCUAGUCUUGUCGAUCGAGCGAGCGGUACAGGAAUUCGGGAUCGCUCAGAUCAGGCCGGGGGGUGGAAGAUAUGGCGCAGGGGACGCUGGAGGUGCUGCUCGUCGGAGCCAAGGGCCUCGAGAACACCGACUUCCUCAGUACGUACCUUCGCCUUUCCCGUUCGAAUUCUGCUUUGAUUUUCCGUUACCUGGUCGAUCAGGCCGGUGCUGACCUCUUGAUCGGCCAAACUGCUCUGUGUUUUCGCUGUUGCGGCUGUUGAAAGAUGUUGUCAAUUCUCGAUUCCUUGUUGACGAGUACCGUACGUGGUUGCGAAUUAUUCCUGCAGGCAACAUGGAUCCUUACGCGGUUCUGAUAUGCACCUCGCAGGAGCAGAAGAGCACCGUUGCGUCAGGUAAACAUGUUCGUUUAGCUUGCAUUCAGAUAUGUACCCCCGGUGAUCUCUCUCAAGAAAAAGAUUCAGCUAUACAUAUCCGUUGCAGCGUUCUGCUCAUUCACGCCUUACUUGCUCAACGUUUUAGUUCAUUAGUACUUAAAUCCGUGCCAAUUAAUAUGGAACGGAGGGAGUAGUGCACAGAACAUGAGUAUAUCAGCUCCUGAACAUCCAACUGUACUUUGAAACUGAAAUACAUGAACCAAAGAACUAGCCUUCCUUUCUAUAACGAAAAGCAGAGUUCAUCAAGACAUGCUUAGCGAGUAACGAGUAAUUAACCUCAUGGAUGGCGCCUCAGUGCUACUCCACGUGUGCCACUGGCUUCCCUAUCAAUUAUAAUUCGGUGCAUGCAGGCAAAGGAAGUGAUCCUGAAUGGAACGAAACCUUUGUGUUCACCGUCUCUGAGAACGCGACCGAGCUCAUCAUCAAGCUCCUGGACAGUGACAAUGGCACAGAAGAUGAUUGUGUUGGUGAAGCAACGUAAGUACAUGUUUGUUAUCCAUGGAUCCAUGUUUAAUGGCUAAAAGUAUAGUGCUUUAUAAGUCGAACUGAAUUUCUUCAUGGCUAAAUGUCGAUUUCUGUCUCUGAAGAUGGGGUUAGCCCAAAAUCUUCCUACGAGUUACCUCGUUGCUGCACUCACUCGAGACGCCCAACCAAAUCUUCUCGCAUAAGCUUCAGUGAUCACAUUGUGAAGAACAUUCACUGUUGGAGGUUGUUUUGUUUUUCCAUGCUGGCACCUGAUGUGCAAUGUUGCUUGUAUCGUCACUUGUCGGUGGGAUUGUUCUCAUUUUAUUUCCGCAUUUACUCUGAACUUUGAAGAACUGGUUGGCGUUUUCUCUAAUGGAAAUUGAGGGGUGAACCAUUCGUUUUUUUAAGGCCACUCUGGAUGUGCACGCUGUUACAAGAGAAACUAGUUCUCUGGUAGGCAGGCACCACGCCGUGACCUGGACCAUUUUCAUUUCGCAUUUGGGUUGAUGUCACGGGAUGCUACCCUGAACAAUACAUCCCGAGUAUUAAUUGCAGAUAAUUAAUGGACCAUUUUCAUUUCGCAUUUGAAUAGCUGCUUCCGUAUAAACUGCAAGUUUCAUUGUCCAUUAAUUACAGCUGAAUAGCUGAAUCUUGCAGGAUCCCUUUGGAAGCAGUGUACACGGAAGGAAGCAUCUCACCAACGGUUUAUAAUGUUGUCAAAGACGAAGAAUACCGCGGAGAAAUCAAAAUUGGUCUGACGUUCACUCCGGAGCCGGAGGUAAUUAUCUCAUGUUAAUGCAUGUUCAAAGAGGAAGAACCCCUUCUGUUCGGGGCCAUAAGCAUUAGUAGCUGUAUAUGCAAGCCUUGUAAUCUUGUCGAUCCUUAUUAGCGAUUAACUUAAUGUCAUAUUAUCAUAAACUGAUAGCAAGUGAUAUAAGAGCUAUCCAGCUAACGGUAAAUAAUCCUCUACCUCAUUUUGCCUGUUCAAAUUCUAGUUUCAGCGGCCACUAAAUUUACUUUGUUUCCUUUCGUGUGUACCUCGGUCCUCUUCUGAUCUAUGUACUAUUUUUUUUUAUAAAAUCUGUUUCUAUUUGCAGGAGUCUGGGGAAUAGAAUUUACCUGAGGAAAACCUGGGACAGUGGAAUCAAUCGUCUUGAGAAGAUCAUGCUUUGAUGAACUGCAAUUGUGUGACUAGUAUGCUAGAACGAAGCCUAUGUUAAAGACAGUACUUCUCACUAAUUUCCUUAAUGGUGGAUGAUUGCAACUCUCCGUAUUAAUAUGUAUCAUUCUUGUACUUCAAUUAUUAAUAAUGGUUUUUUUUGUUUUCUGCCACUUGUAUGCACUGCUCUUUAAAAUGUUUCACAAAACCGAUCUGUAAUUCAUCAUUUUUCAAUGAAAUCCAGCAGUUUCACUUGAUGUCAAAAUAAUUGUGUCUUGGUCAAAUUAUUUCAACAAUUUCUGUAGUGCACAAAAAUUCAAAUAAAUUUGCAAAGUAUAUCAAAUUUUGGUUGAUUUUCAGCCAAUUUUGAGUGAGAAUUUUAGUCAUUUGACCAAAACACUAGGGAAAAGAAUUACCUUGAGUGAUUGAGAAAACAAGUGUAUUAAGUUUUGUUAUGACAAAAGUACUUUUUUCGUCUCUCGUCUUUUCAAACCGGACCGGUCCUAGAGCCGACUCAAAGAGGUUUUCUCGAUGAUGUGUCCUGAUAUUUUAGGGUUAAUUGGAUCUAUGCCACUCUCUAUUUCACCGAUUGAAAAUAUGUCAUUACAAAAACUUGACUUGGAAAAUGCCACUCUAACUUUCUUAUACCUCUAACUAUGCCAUUCUGUCCACUUAAGACCAAUUAUUAUUCAUAAAAUACAUGUAUUUCAGCGUGUAUAACCGUUUACAAUAAUACCCCUAUUUACAUUCCAGGCGCCACAAAAGGUUCAAAACAUUCAAAUUUGGCCGAAAAUUCAAACUUCUCAGAAAAAUCUAUAAAAAUUACAGAAAAUCAUAACUAUUUUAAUGAGCCUACUGUCCAAAGAUGAGCCAUUUAUGGGCACAUAUGAACCCCUAAACUGCUAUUUUAAGUUCAAAACAUUCAAAUUUGACCAAAAUUCGAACUUCUCAGAAAAAUCUGAAAAAAAUAGAGAAAAUAAUAACUACUUUUAGGAGCCUACUGUCAAAAGAUGAGCCAUUUCUGGGCACAUUUGGACCCUUAAAAUGACAUGCAAGAUUCUGUCCAGAAAAUUUGACACCAUUUACCCGAAAUUUCAACAGCAUUUUAGAUCCAUUUAACACAUAUUAAGAAGAACAAUUCAUGCAGAUUCAUAAAGAGGUUCACAAGCACGAUUUAAUAGUCACAGCUUCACAUAUCAAGUACCAAACGAAUUUAAUGGAGGUACAUAGGUUGACAAGAACAAUCGAAUCAGCCGCUAGCCACCAAGCCAAUAAAGUAGGCUUCUUUUUGCACCAUUUGUAGGCUGCAGUUCUGGAGGUGGAGGUGGAGGCAUCACAGGUGCAAAUGGAACAUUCUUCUUGCCUUUCUUCCCUUUAGAUGCAGUCUUCUUCACAGGGGUCUUUUUCUUGGCCUUCUCUUGUGUUGUAGCUUCUCUCACAGGUGUCUUCUUCCUGGCUUUCUCUUGUGAGGCAACUUUCUUCACAGGUUUCUUCUUCCUGGCCUUCUCUUGUGCUGUAGCUUUUUUCACAGGUGUCUUCUACCUGGCCUUGGCCUUCUCUUGUGUUGUAGCUUUCUUCACAGGUGUCUUCUUCUUGGCUGGUGUUUUGGGCUUUUGUGGAGUUGUUCUAGCUUUUUUCCUGCAUUAUCAACACGUGGUUUAGAUUGAGUAAUAACAGAUUUUAAGACAAGUGCAGCAAUUUACCUUAUAAGGUUGAUAAGGACCUCAUCAUCUCCUGCAUCAACAUCUAUAGUAGCAGCUGUUUCAUCAACUUUGUUCCUGCAAUAAGAACAAAAUAAAUCAAUUUUACAAUAUAUAAGUUACAGAAAUAUAGAUCAGGUACAUCAUCUAAUGCCACAUUAUCUAUUGAAUCACCUUUUCUUUGUUGGUGUAGAUGGAUCUGGUACAUCAUCAACUAUAUCAUCAUCUAAUGCCACAUAUUUAGGAUCAGGAACCUUACAUGUCUUCUCCAUGUGCCCAGGUCCACCACAUCUCUUACACUUGACUAUUUUCCUUCCAGGUUCUAGCCAUCCUGUAAUUCUCUGAACUCUUGGCCUACCAGCCACUACUUGCUGCAAAGGAGGAUGCACCUUGAACCCCAAAUCCACAUUUAUCCACUGUGUCGUCUGUCAUGGAAGGGAUUCUCCCAGCAUAUGCUGCCUUGAACUUAUCCACAGAAUAGUAAUCAUCCACAUAUGUCUGAAUCUCAGCACCAUUAAUGCUACAAAUGAAGGCCAAUGCGUGCAUGCAUGGCUUUCCAGAAACUUGCCAAACUCUACAAGUACACGUGCGAUUUUGCAAGUUGACAAUGUGCCUUUUGACAAAUUUCAGAUCCAGUAAUGUAACUUCUGCCUCAUGUUCACUGGUCCAAAGAAUCUUGUUUCGGCCAAUGGUUUUGCUAGGAGCAUUCAGCUGCUUGAUGAUAUGAGGAAGAAUUCUACUCUUUAGUUGUUCACUUACUUGUCUUCUAACACAAAACUUUUCCAUGACGAGCUCCCUAAUUCUAUCGACGAGGUUGCAAAUAUUGAGACCUUUGAAGUCUUUAAUUUGCUAAUUCUAUGUGAAGCCAUUGUGCAAUUUGCCAACUUUGUAGUUGGACAAUUGUGCUCAAAUGGAAGUGUUUUUAUCUGUGAAUGAGAAAACAACUAUAUAAGUCAGGUGCAACAAAGAUAAUUUGCACAAAAAUAAUAGACAUGUAAAAAACAACACAAGUGCCCAUACCAUGGUUGUUCUACCAUCUUGUAGUACUGAUGCAUGGAUGCGCCAUUUACAUGUCACAUGUGCACACCGAGCAAUAAAUCUAGUGGGAUCGGUUUUGAUUUUAGCCAAUUUAAAACCAACAAUAAUAGCUCUCUGCCUUAUAGCUUUUCUGCAAGCCACAAUGUCAAGAAAAAGAGCACCAACUCUGAUGUCUGGGCUCUCGGGGUCAUGCACCACAGUAUACCCAGCAGGGUCAAUGUCAACCACUUUUUCCUCUUCAUGGCGCGCAAACACAUCAGCACAAUCAUCUUCCUCCUGAAUGUUGCCACCCUCCUCAACACAUGGUGCCGAGACAUCCACAUGGACAUUAUACAUGUACUCAUCGUCUACCCCUACAUACUCCUCAACUAUGUCAAAUGGAUCAGUUUCUAUAACAGGGGCAGAUUACUUUAAUGGUGAGGUUGAAUGAGAUGCUGCAUUCUCGCUAGGAGUUAGAGGACACCCUUCGAAACCCACCAGAAGCACGUCAUCAUCCGGAAUUGUUGGCUCGGACACAUGAACAACAUUGUCAAGCAUAGGCACAGGAGUUUCAGAACAAGAGCUAUCAAACAGAACAACAGAAAGUGUAAGCCUCCUCUCUGCUCUGUACAUGUCAAACAUCACAUCAAAUUCGUCGUUUUCAGUUAGUCUAACAUCUUGCGCCCUUAUCACGUUAAAAUACCACACAAUGAUACUCUGAUCCCUGCCAACUCUCAAUUCUGCACUUAAUCCAUCCAUGAGAACAUCCAUCGUGAAAUCAUCCGAGUUUACAUUCCAUCUAAUCGUUUUCCCCUUUUUUUUUACGAAAACGGCAGCGCCGAUUCAUUACUUAAGAGUGGGGAUAUACACGCGCCAAGCGCAAAGACAAGGAGGAAGCCACAAGGACCGAACAAGAGCUAAGGCUAAACAAGAGCUAGGGCUAGACUAGACCUAGAUUAGAAACGAGAAUCAGAACACCUCUGGGGGGCGGACGGUCUGGAACCAAGCUGUUCUAUCCAUCAAACCACCUCGACAACACGUAGCCCGGCCGCGCGCCACAGCCGGAUCUCCUCGGCGAUAGCAUCAGCAACUGAGCCGGGGGGGGCGACCAUUGGAGUGGAAGACGCGCUGGUUCUGCUCCAACCAGAGAACCACCAGGUAGCCAUGACGAUGCUGCAGAGGCUCUCCUUGUCUGCAGCGCCGCGAGCGCCAUCCACCAACUGAGCCCACCAGGAGAGGAGGUCGCCCGCAGGAGGGGCACGUUGGAUGAGGUGCACCAACCGGAAACGCGGGAGGAGCGAGUGCCACACCUGUCUCAAGUAGGAGCAGUCAGCGAAGAUGUGAUGGGUAGUCUCCGGGCGAAGGAAGCACAAUUGGCAGCUCGGCUUGUGAGCGAUGUUUCACCGGGUCAAUUGAUCCGCUGUGAGACAUCUCCCAAGGCACGCGAGCUAGGCGUGGAACUUAAGCUUGGGCGGUAUCCUAGUACGCCAGACCAGCACCGCCAUGGGAGAGGGGAUGCUGCCGAGAAAUUGCAUCUUGUAGGCGCUCAACGCGGUGUAAGAGCCCGAGCCGUCGAACUUCCAGCGCAGAACGUCCUCGCCAUCAGAGAGCUGGAAAUGCCGUAGCCGCGUCCAAAGGUCGACGAACUGCACCAGGACCGCCGGGGACGGGUCCUGCUUAAUGGCCCGGAUCCACGCAGAGCUCUGCAGGGCACCGGCCACCGACGCCUUUCUCUUACACGAGUGUGAGAAGAGCAGCGGAAACUUCGAGUACAGAGGGCAUCCAUCAAGCCACGGGUCGAACCAGAACGACGUCUUCUGACCAUUGCCGACCAACACCAGGGAGCCAGCCUCAAAGAGCGCGCGAGUGGUUGGAUCCUUCCCGAAGACGCCGUCCUGGGCAGGGACGCCCCAGCUCCUCCAAAGCCAGCGAACCCGCAAAGCAGCGGAGUGACGCUGUAGGCAGGGGAUGCCGAGGCCACCGAAGGCUUUAGGUGAGCAGACCCGGCGCCAGGCGACCAGGCACUUCGCCCCCACAGUCUGGUCCGACCCCGACCACAGGAAGGCGCGGCGAAGCUUAUCAAUUUGCUUGAUCACCCAAACCGGGUUGUGAAGGACCACCAUCUGGUAAGUAGGCAGGGCCGAGAGCACGGCGUUGAUGAGGACCAGCCUGCCCGCACGGUUGAGGAACUGACCCUGCCAUCCUGCCAAUCUUCUGCUCACCUUGUCGAUCAAGGGCUGGUAGUCACCCCUGGUUAAGCGGUUGAAGGAGAGCAGCAUGCCGAGGUACUUGCAAGGGAAGGAACCCGGGCUGCAGGGAAGGGCCGCAACAAUCGGCGUCAUGUCGAGCUCCCCACAGUGAAUAGGUGAGAGGCUGCUCUUGGCAAAGUUGAUUCUCAGCCCGGUGGCGUUGCCGAAGAGCGAGAGAAGGGACGCGGCAGCCUCCGCCUCAGCAGCCGCGGGCUGGAUAAAGAUCAUGACGUCGUCCGCGUAGAUGCUUGUCCGAGAGAGGGCGAGCUGUGGGAAUGGUUGGAAGAUCCCAGCACGGUCGGCCUCCUCGAAGAGCCGGGCCAAGCAGUCCAUGACCAGCACGAACAACAGAGGUGAGAGGGGGUCGCCCUGCCUCAGGGCCCAGCGGUGAAGAAUGGGCGCAGACAGGUCCUGGCUGAAGCACACACGCGUGGACGACGAGCACAACAGGAUAGCGAGCCAGCUGCACCAUCUGUUAGGGAACCCCUGGAAGCGAAGCAGUUGCAGCAGGAAGUCCCACGACACCGUGUCGAAUGCCUUGGAGAUAUCUAGCUUUAGCAGAAGAUUGGGCCACUUCCUGGCAUGCACCGACUUGAGCCAGCUCUGGACGUGAAAGAAGUUGUCAGUAUGCACUGACUCGUUUUCCCCUUCACGUAUGAUUUUCUACCGUUUGGUUCCUUCAGCACAAAUCCUUGAACAACAAGGUCUAAGCUAAAAGCAUUCAUCAAUUCGAGCCUACAAAUUUCAUGGAAAAUAGCGAAUGUUCAGAGAAUGAAAGUACAACAGUCCGUACAUUCAAGGAGGAGAGAAGAGGUUGGGAGCGGUGAUGUUGGGGACUCACUCGUACAGCGACUCGGGGAUUGUCAACUCCAUGAUGAUCGGCCCCCGACGGGACUCCCUCCACCCACCGCUCGCCUCCAAUCAUGGCGACGGGAACCUCAAGUCGCCGCGGCCCUCCACAGCAGCGGGCGAGCUCCGCCACCGCCCAUCUCCCGCAAGCCACCGCCGUCGCCCGCCUCCCUCCAGCCGCCACCGCCGCCCGCCUCCGUCUAGCCGCUGUCGCCCGCCUCCACUUUUUCUAGGGUUCCUUAGGUCAGGAUAGAGGAGCGCCUGGGGUAAUUAGAGAAAGGUAGAGAAAUAAAACUAUUUGAGUUGGGAUAAAAAAAAAAUUGUUUGUAUAGAGUUAUGCAUAUAUGUAUUUAGAUAUAUACGUCAUGGUAUUGGACAAAAUGGCAUGAAUAGAGGUAUAAGAAAGUUAGAGUGGCAUUUUUCCAAGUCAAGUUUUUGUAAUGGCAUAUUUCCAAUCGAUGAAAUAGAGAGUGGCAUAGAUCAAUUAACCCGAUAUUUUAACCCAAAGCGUCCUUUUGGCUGUCCGAGAGACGAUGUCCACCAACUGCUCGACGAAAUGUCCAAUACAAUGAGAAAGAGAUGUAAGGUUGAUCAGUGGCGGAGGCAGGGACCAGGCCAGAUUUCAUCAUAUGAGCUUCAUAUUUUUAUGCUUUGGCCUUUCUUAAUAAAUCAUCUUUUUAUUCUGGUCCUCUCUAUAUCAUUUUCCUGCCUCCGUCCAUGAGGUUGAUGCCACUUGAACAAGCACAUGGAUGGUUAUCACUGAGAGAAACUGUUUUGGGUCCACUCCAGUAUCAAAUGUGGCUGAUUUGAGAAGAUGUGGGGCGAAAAACAUAUUUGGGGUCGGAAACAUAUUUGGUUAGCUUAUGGAACAUGAUAGAAGUUAUUUGGUUAGAUAUGGAAACGCCGAUUUCUUUUUCAUGAGGCUGAACCAAAUGAAUUUUUUUUAGAAUUUCAUGAAAGAAUGUAGAUAGUUUUCAUUCCUAUAGAUCAAGCAAGUUUGUUUUUUCAAAGGAACAAAAUCCUCCAACUUUUCUUUUAUAAAUUCUCUUAAGAAUAUUCAACGUGAGUGCUUAGUGCUUACGUAGUUACUUGUAGAUUGUGCUAUCUUCCUUCACCGUCCGGAGGUGAGGAUGAAAUCAUUGUAACUGCAUUACCUAACGUAGAAAGUCCCAGCGGUAGUCAGCACCAUGCAUGCAUGUUCUCCUGACAUGUUUUUCCGGAUGACAAAGAGUAGAUUAUGGCUUAAUGUACACUCAAAACACUGCAGGCUGCCGAUCCAGACCGGUUGUUCUUUGACCUUUCAGCUGGACUACACGGCCGUACUCCUCUCUCGCCUCCCUAUAUCUCUUGUCGAAUCAAAAGACAAACGGAACCGGCCUACAAAACAAUUUUGUAAUCUCCUACACGACGCUUCUUCGCCAUGUGAGGGGUAAGAUAACAACAAGGUGUACUGAUGAUAUCACGCUCAUAAGCGAACAAAAAGGCUAGUAAGCAUCUACCAUAUUUUAGCCGGGGCGCGGACAAAGCACCAUCUUGUCGUGGCUCCCAUGUCCGUUUGCUGCCUUCGCGAAAACUGAAAUGACCCUAAACGCCCCCGGAAGAAGUGGAAAACACAAGCCAUUGACCAUUCCAAGAGCUCGCAACAACAGAUUGCAAAAGCUCCCAAUCAUUGUCCUAGCUAGUCACAUCUCAGAUCGAUCUUUGCUCUCCAGAGAACUAAUCAUAAAUCAAGUGCUAGGGAGAGGAAGAAGGAGAUCAUACAUGCAAGUAAUUACAUCCGGAUCCAAACUCCAGAGCUCUAACGGGCUAGCUAAUUACAGUUGCUACAUCAUCACUUUGUAUGUGAUUUCGUAUUUGCACACAAGGCACUACUCAGCUACUCACUAGUCACUAGUGUGUUCUUCUGCACGAGAGGAAAAAAUGGAGGCGCGCGAAGAACCUGUAGUGCUAGUUGUGCAGCGGGUUAGGGCCCUGCGGAACAAGCCUCUUGGAGUCACCGAACUCCGCCGCUGCCGCGUCGCCGCCGGCCGUCUCCGCCGACACCGCCGCCGGGGACACCCAGCUGUGUUGCGUCGGCGUCGGGGCGCGCUUGGACGCCGCGACGUCUGCAGCUCUGAGGAUCCUGUGGCCGCAGCUGAAGGUGGCGAGCUCGGACGCCAGGAUGAGAAGCAACAUUGCUAGGAGCGUGGCCGGCAGUACCGUGCCGCCGGCGUCCCUCACCAUGAUAAUUAAGAAGAGAGAUGGGGAAGAGGGGAGAGGGGGUGAGCUAGCUUGGUGAGCUAGUGGGCUGCUGCCUCAGCUCCCGGAAGAAGUGGAGGUGGUUCUGCAAUAACUGCGUCUGUAUGGACGCGGGCAGAGACUGUUGGGAGGAGGAGGAGGUAGGGGCCGAGAGGAUGUUGUGUGUGCGUGUAUCAUGUGCCUUGUUGUGUUGUGCCGUGGGUGCUACUACUAGUGCUAAGAUGGCCGGACGGCGGACGGUGUCCCCGUUUUCGAUCUGUAGACUGCAGUGUUGAAUUUGUUCGUGUUAAGGGAAGGGAUGAUGGUUGGAGCUUUGAGAGGUGGCCAGUUGACUAUUAGAAAAAUAAGCAAACGACAUGUUGCAUGUGUGUUGCUCUAUGAUACUGGUUAGGCAGUGUCCGGGUCUUUUGGGCGUAAUGUAUUCGUGCGUUCUAGAGUAACUUGCUGGGGGCCGGUGGUAACAAUUAAUCCAAACAUUGUGAUGGCAUGAUCUGUAUCCUGGCGAAAAAGCUGAGUGCUCGUUUGGUUCUGGCUCUCAGCCGGAUGACUGAAUUCUGUUAUUUCAGCUCUCAUGAAUGAGAUGCAGUAUGCUGUAUGUCGUAUGCGGACAAGGUAUGACGGGAAGACCCAAAGGAAAUCAAUGAUGUACUCCAGUGCAUUUCUCUUUAUGAAUCCUGACUACCUUGAACUAGACAAUCGGCUCAUCCUAUCGACAAUGCCUCUCGCAGAAUUUUCACACGUCUCCAUUGUACAAAUUACUACUGAGAUUCUGAGUACAUUUUUUUAAAGAUGUUUAAUACGUUUUCUGUUCUUUUUUAUAAGAUGUUUUACUUUUGUUUUAAAUUCAAACUUCUUAAAAUUUAACCAUUUUUUGUAAAAAAACACACUAGUGUGUACAUUAGAAAUAUAAGCAUACUAUAAAGAUACCAUGACCAGGGACAUACACCUUGCAAGACAAGCUGUAAAACCACUUCUCUGUCGAUGAAUCAACAAUGAAAAAAAUCAAAACACGAAAAGACGUGUCAUGAGAACCACUGACUCUGUGGCAUAAGUUGUGCCUACACCAGGACUAGAAAAGAGGCAGAACACUAAUCUUCUAAAUGACGUCGUCUCCAUCGCCAAAACGACACCGAGAAGAACACGCAAACCUAACAAAAAAAUAGCAAAACUAGAUGUCAUAUGUUAAUCCAUUGUUUCCCUCGUCUCUCGACGCCAGCUCGGACGUGAGAGAGGAGAGGAACUGCGGGAGACUGAAGCUUCUUCGACGACAGCUGCGGCUAGUGUUUUCUCCGUUGGCACACAAAGACGGCGGCUCGCGGAUCUGAAUUCCUAGUUGGUCACUUGGCUCUCUCUUUUUUCGGGAAAAUACGCACUUGGGCUGUUGCAAUCACCUCAGCCCAACCCAGCUUAAGGACGGGUAGAGUUGGGCUUUUAAGCGGCCCAACACAACGUAGGAGAGUACCCUGAGAGACGACGCAGCACACGGGACACAGCGCGUAGGCCGCGGUCGCCGCCGGUUCGCCUUUUAUUCUCGGCGGUACUCGACACGGAGCAACUCCUCGUUGUCCAAAAUCCCCGGAGAAAGAGGGAGAGAGUCAGAGGCGGAGCAGCCGCGGAGAAGCGGCGGCGCUAGCAAGCUAUGGAGUACCGCAACAAGUUGGUGCUCGCGCCCAUGGUCCGCGUGGUAACUCCUCUUGAUCUUAACCCUCCCUCUCUGAUUCCCAGCAGCAGCGUCCCCAACUCCCCAUGACCAUGAGUUGGGGAGCUUAGGGACCGAUUUUUAGUCUCCCGAGCACUAGGUCCUAGAUUUAGGUCUCUCCGAAUCUAAAGCCGGACGCCUUAGUGUGCGCCGGAUGAAUGAGUAGCUCGCCUUCUCGGCGCGUUGUUCUAUGGGCGGUGGCCGUGGGUUGGAGGCUAUUCGCUGCCGUGUUAACAAAAAUGAAGCCUGAGAGUUCUCUAGUUUGAAACCAGAGUUUCUCUCGAUUCAGCUCUAGGGACUGGAAUCUUAGCGAGCCUCCAUGUGCGACAAAUGAUAAAUAACACACUACCCUAUUGAUGAACUGAUGAUGGCUUUCCACCUGUUACAUGUACUUUUGGAGGUGCAGUGCAAAGGUUCACCUGAACCUUUCAUAUGGUAACAUCCAAAUGAACCAUUUGAGAGAUGUGGUAUCAAGGCUGCAGGUUUACUUGAUUGAUUAAAUUUGCUUCUAGCAUGUCAUGUUCUGAAAACGUGAGAAUACUAGUCAAGUAGUCAUUUAUUACCUCAUGGUUUGGGUAUUAAAAGACACUGUAUAUUGAGAAACAGUACGCAUGCAAAAUUGUACUAGUUUUGUCGAUGUUAAUAUCAUCGAACUUUAUCAUUUCUCCUGCACUUUUGCUUCUAAUGGGGCGGUAUUACUGCACCUUCACUGAGUUCCAGUGCUGGCUUACUGAAUAUGUAGUAGCCAUCCUCCAUAAUUCACAUUUAUUGUCUUGAGAGAGACUAUUUCCUUGAAUUUGUAAUACACAGUUCUAUUGGCAUACUGGUGGUAUCUAACUUAUGUUGUUAAUGUCUUGUGCAGGGUACUCUGCCGUUCAGGCUACUGGCUGCUGAGUAUGGCGCUGAUAUUACAUACGGAGAAGAAAUUGUAGAUCAUAAGUUUUUGAAGUGUGAACGUGUUGCAAAUGGUACUGUGGUUGAAUUGUUGUUUGACAGCUUACGAUGAUCUGGCAACUUCCACAUCUCCUUUUAAGAUUUAAAUAUCAUAGUAUUAUAGAUAACAUUGCACUUGAAGUUGGUGACUGGAAACAUUCAUCUGAGAUGAUUCUUGGAUGGGAAAAAGUUUGUAUUGAAGAUAAGAGUAAAAAUACAAGGACAAAUUAAUUUAAGAUUGUAUAAUUAUAUAUUUUAUGGAGUUGGAAAUUCUUGAUUUUACCUGUGAGUCCAAGUAAUGAUUUGACAACCACUCGAUUUUGUUUCUUUGUUCCCCUAUGUUAUUCACUGCAGAUUUAUUUGGCAUGGUUUCCCUGAUUUUAAUUAUGGUAUUCAUCGUUUUUCAGAAUCUCUUGGGACUACUGAUUUUUUGGAGAGAGGGACUGAUAAUUUAGUUUUCCGAACGUGCCCACAAGAAAGGGACAGGGUUGUAUUUCAAAUGGGGACAUCAGAUGCCGUGAGGGCACUUAAAGCUGCUCAGAUUGUGUAAGCUUUAUUUCUGAAUUUAUUUGACGCAAAAUUUGUAGGUAAACUAACUUAAAGCGCACUGAGUUAUUUGGGCCAAUUGACUACCUAAAUUGUUUGCUCUGCUCAUUUGAUCAAGGAAUUUGGUUAGUUGGUGUAACAUUUUCUUAUUUGCAUCUUCUCUUUACUCAUUGCAUUUCAUCAUCACCAGGUGUAAUGAUGUUGCAGCUAUAGAUAUCAACAUGGGUUGCCCAAAGUCUUUCUCUGUCAGUGGAGGAAUGGGUGCUGCAUUACUCUCCAAACCUGAGCUUAUACACGAUGUACAUGGUCCUAUUUAUUGUCUUACUUUCUUAUCCCUGUUAUUUACUGUGCUUAUUAAGUCUAUGCAAAUUGUACCAUCUAGAUUUUGACCACACUGCGAAGGAACUUGGACACAACCUUGACAUGUAAAAUCCGUCUUCUGAACACACGUCAGGACACUGUGGAGUUGGCACGACGGAUUGAGAAAACCGGUGUUCCAGCUCUGGCUGUCCAUGGAAGGUAAGCACACAUAGAUUUGUACUGUCUGGUCCUGUCUUACUUGAAAAAUGCAUAAUUUGAUCAUCCUUACUUUUCAAUGGUGUCAACCAAGUUUAAAACCUGAAUUUGUAAAUAUGAGCGAAAGUUAUAUCAUAUGCACAACCAUUCUGUUGAUUAGGAUUAUAUUACCCAAAUUGAUAUCGCUUAAAUCCAUGGAAAGUUCAGGGUCCCUUUUCUUUUGUAACAUUUGAGCUUUAUUUUGUAAGCCAUUUAUUUUCAGUAAUGAAAAUGCAAUAUGAUGUGGUGUCACUAUUAUCCUUAAUUUUUUCAUGUGCCCUAGAACCCUAAUUUUCGUUUUGGGUAAUUGGUUCCCUUGUGUCAACCUUCUUUUAAAGUGCAGAAAGGUCAAAGACAGGCCAAGAGAUCCCUCUAAGUGGGAUGAGAUUGCCGAUGUUGUGUCCGCAUUGUCAAUUCCAGUUAUAGCUAAUGGGGAUGUUUUUGAGUACGAUGAUUUUAAGAGAAUCAAAGAUGCCACAGGUUUGUAUAUUCACACUAAUUGCUCUUACAUUUUAUUUUGCUCUGUAAAUGGAUACCAAAUUAACUCAAAUUAGUUUGGGUUUUUUCAUUUGCCAGUUACAAGUACUGCACUUACUUUACUCCUAGCCAAAAGCACAAAUCUCCAUGUAAUGUGAUCGCCACAAUAUUAGAUCAUUUCCUAAAUGUUUUCACAUUCAAGAAUGCAUAACCAGUUUCUUGAAAACCACGAAUGUGAGAGAUUGACUCCUUACUGCCAGUAUUUCUUGGGGAGUUGUGCACUGGCAUACUGAUUUUGCUUCUCUUUGAUGUUGUUUUUGACAAUGGGUUUGUGUCUUGAUUCCUGUAACUGCUAGGUGCCACGUCUGUAAUGGCUGCUAGAGGUGCCCUGUGGAAUGCAUCUAUUUUUUGUGCCAAAGGGACAACACCUUGGGAGGAGGUCAAAAGAGAGUACAUAAGAAAGGUAUUUAAUGUUGCUGUCUGCAUUCUGUUCUGUUCAGCCUCCCUGCAUUUGAUCUGUUCAACCUAAGUUAAAUUGUCAUGUUUUUUACUUAUUGUAUUGACAUGUCCUUACAUUGUAAUUUUUUUGAGCAGAGUAUUUUGUGGGACAAUGAUGUGAAGAGCACAAAACAUACAUUAAAAGAAAUGAUAAUGCGCUAUUCUUGCCUUGAACUCGCUGAAGGGAAAGGUGUGAUAAAGUGUGAUUCAUCAGCAGAUAUAGCGUAAGUGAUUACUUAUGCAGAUGUCUCUGUGUGAUUACUGCACCUUAUUUUGCAAUGCUGUGGUUUCUUGCAAUCUGGCUCAUUUGUUCUACGUUUAUUCAUUAUUUGGCAACUAUCUUAACAGUUCUUCUUCUCAUGUCUUCAGGAAACUUUACAAGGAAGAGGACUACUAUAAUUUUGUUGUUUCAAACAGGAAAUGAACAAAACUUGGUUUUGCUAACCCUUCAUGCGACCCAGGUAUCUAUAUAACUGUGCAAGUUUGCAUUUCUUCACAAGGAAUGAAAGAGAUGUUUCGAUAGAGAAGUUCUCUCCUGCAAAAUUAAGAAUCGGCUCAAGAAUUCAUGUUCUGUACGAUUUGAAAACUUACUUUCCCAGUUUCACUUGCAUGGUGAAUGGUUCCUUUGAUAAAUGUUGUCAUUGGUCCUUUCUUGUCUGUAUGGUGUCUAAAUUGAAGUGCAGUAUGUGGGGACCAAAACUUGAUUUCAACUUGUUAAUUGCAUUUGUCUGUGUGCACACCCACGCGUGUGUUUUCCUGAACCAUGAGAAGUGGCUAAAUCUGUCUGGAAGAUCACAGUUGUUAGUUAACACCAUUUGCAGCCAUACAUCGAAUCUUGGAUCUGAAAAGUUUGCAGGCAUUUGUCAGUGUGCACAUCCAAGUUGCAACUUCAUUAAGUUACUUAAGAACAAGCAGUAAAGUUUGCCAGUAAUUUGGUAAGCAUGACUUGUAAUUACUCAUGAGUCAUGAGUUGACAUUGUGAUCGUGGACUGUCACCCCUGUCACGAAGGGCACCCCUUAUCCCAAAAGGUUGAUGGACUAGAAGUUUGGUAUUUAGCUCCAGAUUCUACCAAUGCACUUCUCAUUUUUAUUUGGGUUGCAAUGUUUCAUAAUUCCUACUGGUUCCUUAAAUUAUCAAUGAUUUUACUCCUUAAAUCAUCAAUGAUUCCACUGAAAUUACACACACACACACACACACACACACACACACACAUAUAUAUAUAUGUAAUUUCAUGUUUUCUGGCAGCAUCUGCUUGGAUCCUUGUCUCAGUCUUACGAAUGGAUAUUUUGGAUGUGUUUCAGUGGAGUUUUGGAGAAUUUCAUCAUAUCACCAGCCAAUACGAGGUUUGCAGUUUUGUCUUUGCACUGUACCAUGUUAGUAUCUGAUCGAGAGGAUCCACAGGUUUAUUAUUUGGCCGGUAGUCUUACAGCAUGUUCUUUUAAAGUAGGAAACUUUGAGAGAGGGCUCUUAUUAGACUCACAGGAUUUUUGAAGCAUUUUGAGAUAUUAUAUUCUUUACGCUAAUGGUAGUAGAUAGAAUUCAUACGUGAUACUGAUUAAACACCAUUUUUGUAAGCUUAUAUUUUAUGCUUUCUGCUAGUGCAGAGCUCGAAAGUCCAUGUCAGAUACUGUUCGUCGAAAUCAUGUAAUUUGGGUAAUACUUGAUCUGUUGAUUGUAUAAUUUAACACUUGGAUUAUGUCCAUCUUGUCCCAAUUCGCAAAUGCUUUGCAGUCUGUUUGAUUCAAAGAAUUUUGAUAGGAUGUUUUGGAGGACUGUGGGUCGUAUGAUUUGUAGGAUUGUGAUCCAUAUGGAUUUUUUUUUCAGUCUUGCACUAUAUAUUUCAUUGGAAAUAUUUCGUUCGCUCUUACCUCUUUGAAAUUCUUCUAUGUUUCUUUAUGGAGCUUCAAACAUCAUCUCGUUCCAAUUUUUACGUGCUUUUACAAUUGUAAAGAAAUUAAAAAAAACAUGAGAUUUGGAUAGAGAAAACAUUAAGGGCCCCUAUGGUUUGAAUGAAAUUUUUUUUAGAUUUCAGUCCAUAGAAAUUUUUCUUAUAGAGGCCUUUUAGAUCAAUGGAAGACUGGCACAUUAAUCCUAACUUUACAUAUUCCAGUUCUUUUAGAACCCUGCGUCUCACACUGAAUUGUGUCCCUGGCUAACCAGUUUGUUUACUAUAGCUGGGGAGAAACUUCGAAUGCCUUAUAUGUUUUGGCUCCUUUUCAAGUAUUCCAUGAAUGUCUUUUUGGCCUGACGUUUGCCGCAGUUGUACACAGUAGAAUGCCUUCAGUCACCUGGUUGCUUUGACUGUACCAAUGGUCGGCUUACCUCCUGCGUUCUGGAUUCUGGAAGCACAAAAUCUGCGUCAUCCAUGACGUCAGAGAUAUCAUCGACAAUGGUAUUUCUUGUGAAAGGACUUGUUGCUAUAUACACUGGAGUUUCAGUCUUUCACGGUAUCUCACUCAGCUUUCUGUAACCAAAGACUUGUUGGACUAGACCCCUACGGCCUACGCUAUGUUGAACGAUAUUCCCAUCCAGAACUAAUGUUUUGAAUCUGAACAGACAAAAACCAAUUUCCCCUCCAAUCUACAGUGUAGGUCCUUCUUUAGCAUUUUCAGUCCUACAGCCACAGUGUAUUUUCGCUCAUUUUCCUAUUUAUCCUCGUUGUUUCAUCAAGAACUAAAUUAUGCAAAAUAAGUUGUAGAAAGAAUUAAGAAUGGCAUUGCAUUUCACCUCUAUCCUUGAUUCGUCUGUAUUUUCAAUCGGAAGGAGUAUUCAAUUGUGAUCAAGGGAGAUCAGAAAUGAUCUUGCAAACAAUCGUCGGGCUAGAACUCCAGAAUGCACUGGCCCAGAAAGAUGUCCAUUUGGAACGCCUGUAGUACAUUCUCGAUCUUGUCAUGGGUGAUAAACAACCAGACAUUUCAAAGAACCAAGCGUGCGUAGACGGAGCAUAGACAUGAAACAUAGACUCCACCUAUCUUUUACUCAAGCUCUGCUUAGUUUAAAAUUCGGAGGGGAUAACAUUUGAUUUACAAAUUCUGCUCAAUAUCAGUACUUACAAAUUCGGAGGAGAUAACGUUUGGUUUGCAUUUGGAGCUCGUGGCACUGUAGUGGUUAAUAGAGCUGAGGAGAGUCCAGUAGUUGAUCACGAGUGAACAGCACAACACGUUACAUUAAGGUUAUCCACGCUACACCCAGAAAAACGCACCCAGAACAGGCUAGUACUAGUUUAGUUACAAGACCGCGACUCAUCUCCCCCCGGACAGGUCAGACAUCUGAGACAUGGUGCCGGCGGUGAUGGACGUCAUCGGGAACGACAUGACGUAGGGGUCGAACCCCUGGUCCUGCAUGACCGCGAGCAUGUUGAAGCUCUGGUACGUCGGCGACAGCUCCGGCAGCUUCACGUCGCCGUCCAGGUACUGCACGAGCUGCCGCGUGGUCGGCCGCGCGCCGGGCAGCGGGUGCGAGCACAGCAGGCCCAGCCUCAGCACCAGGCUCGCCUCGUGCUCGACGAAGUCGCCGCCCAGCCGCGGGUCCACGGCGCCGGUGACCGACCCCGCGCGCCAUUGGUCGAGCACCCAGUCCACCAGCACCAGGUGGUUGUCGCUCGCGUCCUGCACGACGGGCUUCCUCCCGCACGCCACCUCCAGCAUGAAUGCCCCGAACGCGAACACGUCCGACGCCUUGGAGGCCUUCCCCGUGUGGCCGAGCUCCGGCGCCAGGUACCCCAUGGUGCCCACCACGUGCGUCGUGUGCGGGUCCGUGCCGUGGUCGUACAGCCUCGCCAGCCCGAAGUCCCCCAGCCGGCCGUUCAUCUCCGCGUCCAGCAGCACGUUGCUGGCCUUGAUGUCCCUGUGCACGACAACCUGAUCCCAGUCCUCGUGAAGGUACAGCAUCCCCGACGCGACGCCCUUGAUGAUGCGGAACCUCUGCCCCCAGCUCAGCGAGACCUUCUGCUGGUCGUAGAGAUGCUUGUCGAGGCUGCCGUUGGGCAUGUAGUCGUAGACUAGGAGGAGCUCGCCCUUGCGCCGGCAGUAGCCGAGCAGCUGCACGAGGUUGCGGUGCCGGAGCCGGCCGAUGCUGACCACCUCGGCCACGAACUCCUUCAUCCCCUGCCUCGACCCGUGCGACACCUUCUUCACCGCGAUCUCCGCCUUGGACGACGGCAGCAGGCCGCGGUACACUCUCCCGAACCCGCCGAUGCCGAGCAGCCGGCUGUCGCUGAACCCGUCGGUGGCGUGGAAGAGGUCCUUGUACGCGAACCUGUGCGGCCCGAACGCAACCUCCCAGUCUUCCUUGAGCUCCGCGAACAUCCGCCGCCUCCGCAUGACCACGAAAACGACGGCCGCCACCACAAACACGAGAACCGCGGACGCUAUCGGCAGCACGAUCUCCAGAGUCCUGGACCGCGGCUUCGGGGUCGUGACCGGCAUAGAGGGCAGCGAGGAGAUGUUGAGCGCCGGGGCCGCGCCGUUCAUCUUCAAGCUCCAGCCGAGGACGUAGUGGCGGCAGAAGAGGAUGCCGCUGGACGACGAGAACCCGACGUAGGCGGUGUCGUCGAUGACGGAGGAGAGGUUGACGGUGGUGGAGAGCAGGGGCUUCUUGGGCCGGGCCACCACCUCCAGGGGCGCCAUGGUGACAUUCACCUGCAUGGCCUGCCCGUCGAAGUCCACCCACACCUGCAUCGGCUUGCGGUUCACAAGGCUCAUGUUCUUGAACGCGCCGGUGCCGUCGUCGUAGUACCCGGCGUUGUCGGCGUCCACGGAGUUGAGCCCGUUGACGUCGAUGCCGACGUGGUUGCCGCUCAUGUCGUUGAACUCCGAGUUGAGGAUGGUGUCGAACUCCACCGCGAAGAGGUGGUUGGUGGCGUUGCCGUUGUUGGCGGAGCCGACGAGGCCCAGGAACUGGCCCGGGAGCGCCGAGGUGAGGUUCCUGCUCUUGGCGAUUAUGAAGGCCAUGCCGUGGCUGCUCAGGUCCUCGUACGCGCCGAUGAUGCCGAUGACGAAGGCCGUGGAGAAGGACUGCAUGGCCGUGCUGUUGGGCGCCCUGUGGAACUGGAGCGGCGUGGGGAAGAAGGCGUGUCCCUUGAGCUGGCUGGUGGCGUUGGUCAGCUGGAGGAGCCCGUUUGGGGUCACUCUGGCCAUGCCGUCCAUGGAGAGGUUGGCGCCGGUGAACCCAUUGAAGACGAACUGCUCGUCCGCUGACGCCGCGGGGCGGAGGAGGCCGCUGAGGCCGAGGAAGAGGAGCAGGAGAAGGAACGGCAUGGUUUGGUUGGGAAGCAGCAUGGCUGCUCAGUGCAAACAAAACAGUGGUGAAUUGAAGCGAACUCCGAGUGGUGUGGCUGGCCUCUAUAGCCGUCAGUACUGUACUCCCGGUGUCUAAUUAACACCAGCUUUUCAGUAGUGUGAAGUUGACCAGAUGUAAACGUCAAGAUUCCUGUCCAUCCGGGUGGGUUGUUGCGGCCAGUCGCCCUUGUACCUGUAGUCCUGUACGCAUCGGCGGCGAGAGCGAGAGGAGCAAGGCAAACUCCGUUUCCGGGUCGGCACAGUGGGCGCCGAAUUACCUUACAGCGAUGGUUGCACGGAUGUCGACGCGUCUGAGGUGCCGUGCCGCGAUGCGGACGGGUGAGGUUCAGACGCCAGAAGCGUCAACGAUUCCGGCCUCCUUUUCCGCUUGCCCGCGAAAGAAGUCGUCUCCUCGUCGAGAAGGACGCGACUUCGGGACCCGGGGGCGACGCGACCCACGCAAGCGUUAAACUAGCGGCGGGGCCAGCCAUACACCGUGCCGGCGCACAAGCCGUGGCAGCUCCUUUGCUUGCGGCGUCUUCGUUGGAAGCUUCCUGGCUCCGUCUCGUCUGCUUUGCUGUGCGCCCUGGCCCCUGGCUGGGGUUUGUCAUUCACUCACAUCUGACCGAUCCACUCGUCUCAUUGUCUCCGGUGGUUGAGGAUUGGAGAGAUACUAGUAAGUCAGCGGCCAGCCACCAGAAGAGAUUCAUAGUUAUCUGCCUCGCGAUUUCAGUGUGCAGUUUCUUUUGACUAUCUGCAACUCUAGGCUCAUUGCUGAGCAAAACCUUAAUGAUUCUGACAUGAGUAACAAGAAAAGCGAGGUUGGGUGGCAGGUCUAACGCGCACCAACUCUAUUUCGUCGCAAUUGGCAGCUGCCUAAUGUAAUGGUUAUCUAAUCAGGAUGCGUUACAGCGCGACCCAUGAUGACAUGACCACUCACUCCUGUCAUAAUGCCAUCCGCCGCUUAAGAUAUUUUAUCUGAAUUUCUUUUUUGACUUUGACUCGCAAAGUCGUCUACGUCUAAUGGCAAACGUACGGAAGGUAGCGACGUGGGCCUUACGCACCGGUCCCGGAGGCAACCGGAGCAGUAUCAUUUGUCCCUGUACUAUGAAGAACCGUGACAGACAGACCAUGUUGACAUUAUCAAACACAAUCUUGAUCCGCACUCAGGCAGCAGAUUUUGAACAAAGACUCGCCAUUUCCAGUCAAUGCAUCGCACGAUCACCUAAUCAGGAUAAUCCCCGUUCACAUUACUGUAGUCCACUUCAUGCUCUACACUACAAACGGAGCUGCUCGAGCUACUUGCACGAGACGCAGCGGACACAGGCUAGCAAGCAACGCACGCUCGCGAUGUGUCCUAGCCGCAGCUUCCUGCUCCCCAUCCUCCUCCUCGCCCUCCUCGCCGGCGAUGGCUCUGACCACGCGGCCGUGCUCGCCGCGGACCAGUUCACCUACAACGACUUCUCCGGAGCCAACCUGACCCUCGACGGCCUGGCCGCCGUGGCGCCGAACGGGCUCCUGGCGCUGAGCAACGGCACGAGCCAGGCGGCCGGGCACGCGUUCCACCCGACGCCCGUCCGCAUGCGGAACAAUAACGGCGCCGCCCAGUCCUUCUCCGUCGCCUUCGUCUUCGCCAUCGUCUCCAACUUCACGGUGCUGAGCGACAACGGCAUGGCGUUCGUGGUCGCGCCCAGCACCAGGCUCUCCACCUUCAACGCCGGCCAGUACCUCGGCAUCCUCAACGUCACCGACAACGGCAAGGCCGAGAACGGCGUCUUCGCCGUCGAGCUCGACACCAUGCUCAACCCGGAGUUCCAGGACAUGAACAGCAACCACGUCGGCGUGGACGUCAACAGCAUGAGGUCCGUGCAGAACCACUCCGCGGGGUACUACGACGACGCCACGGGGGUGUUCAGCAACCUGAGCCUCAUCAGCCGGCAGCCGAUGCAGGUGUGGGUGGACUACGACGGCGCCACCACCCGGCUCGACGUCACCAUGGCGCCCCUCGACGUGCCCAGGCCCAGGAAGCCCCUCAUCUCCGCGCCCGUCAACCUCUCGGCGGUACUCGUGACGGACACGGCCUACGUCGGGUUCUCGGCGGCCACGGGAGUCAUCUUCACGCGCCACUACGUCCUCGGCUGGAGCUUCGCGCUCAACGGGCCAGCGCCGCCGCUCGACACCUCGAAGCUCCCGGCGCUGCCGCGGUUCGGCCCGAAGCCCCGGUCCAAGGUGCUGGAGAUCGUGCUCCCUAUCGCCACGGCGGCUUUCGUCCUCGCGCUGGCCAUCGCCUUCUUCCUGUUCGUGCGGACGCGGGUGAGGUACGCCGAGGUGCGCGAAGACUGGGAGGUGGAGUUCGGGCCGCACCGGUUCUCGUACAAGGAGCUGUACAAGGCCACAAAGGGGUUCAAGAACAAGCAGCUGCUCGGCACCGGCGGCUUCGGCAGGGUGUACAAGGGCGUGCUCCCAAAGCCGAAUCUCGAGAUCGCGGUGAAGCGGGUGUCGCACGACUCGAAGCAGGGGAUGAAGGAGUUCAUCGCGGAGGUGGUCAGCCUGGGCCACCUGCGGCACAGGAACCUCGUGCAGCUGCUCGGCUACUGCCGCCGGCAAGGCGAGCUGCUCCUGGUGUACGACUGCAUGCCCAACGGCAGCCUCGACAAGUACCUGUACGACAAGACCAAGCCCGUCCUGGACUGGGGGCAGAGGUUCCAGAUCAUCAGGGGCGUGGCGUCCGGCCUGCUGUACCUCCACGAGGACUGGGAGAAGAUCGUGAUCCACCGUGACGUCAAGGCCAGCAACGUGCUCCUGGACGGGGACAUGAACGGCAGGCUGGGCGACUUCGGGCUCGCGAGGCUGUACGACCACGGGCUGGACCCGCAGACGACGCACGUGGUGGGCACGAUGGGCUACCUGGCGCCGGAGCUGGUGCGCACGGGCAAGGCGACGCCGGUCACGGACGUGUUCGCCUUCGGCGUGUUCGUGCUGGAGGUGGCCUGCGGGCGGCGCCCGCUGGGGUGCGCCGCGCCCGACGAGCAGAACGUGCUGCUGGACUGGGUGCAGGAGCACCAGCGGAGGCACGCGGCGCUCGACACCGUGGACCCGAGGCUGUGCGGCAAGUACGACGCCGACGAGGCGCGGCUGGCGAUCAAGCUGGGGCUCAUGUGCGCGCACCCGCUGCCCGACGCGCGGCCCCGGAUGCGGCAGGCCACGCAGUACCUGGAGGGCGAGGUGCCCAUGCCGGACCUCGUGCCCACGUUCCUCAGCUACACCACGCUCGCGCUGAUGCAGAACGACGGGUUCGACUCCUUCGCCAUGUCGUUCCCUUCCACGGUCAGCACCAGCGUCAGCCCCAUUUCCGGUGACGUCUCGGCCGUGUCCGGCCUAUCCGGCGGGAGGUGAAUCGACAAGCAAUGUUAAGGACUCUUGAUUUCUCUUUAUGCUGUUAGGCAUUCUCGUACGCGUCAUCAGGCCAUCUCGUGUGGACUAACAUGUAGAGCACCAGUUGUAAGUUGUAACUUGUAACCACUGCUAGCUCCUAAUGCUGGAUAACUGCGAGUUUUCUGGAAUAGAAUAAUCUGGAACCUGCGAGUGCAAUGUUUCUCAAGCGUCCAACGUCACCUGCAGAAACACCGGUAAAGCGCGACGCAUGAUGCCGUUGCCAUGCCUGUACGUGGGACGCGAACAAACUCUUCUCUCGCUUUGGGAAAUCGGCUUUGUCAGAGCCGCAGGCGCGCUGCAUGGGGUUGAUGAACUCAUGGGGUAGCGACUAUGUAAGCAAUGACGACUCGGGUUGGAUUCUGCCUGCGCGGCGCGACAGGACGAAAACGAUUAGGUAGCCGCGGCUAAAAGGAUGAUCGCCGCGACGGCAGUUGUUGUCGCGCACGCACGGGCUACUGGACUGUUGCGGCGCCUAUUGUUUUCCAAACCGUGCCACAUGCGAAGGCGGUGUGGUCGGAACUCUCAACUUUGGAAUUGCAGGUUGGCCAGGGUGGUUUGGCUUCUUGCCGAUGAUCUCUUCACCAGGUUUCAGAAGACAACCAUGUUAUCCCGCACACAUCGCAUUAGCAGGAUUCUUAAGCAGGUUUCAGAGUCAGGGCAGCAUCCUCGUGCCAGAAGUCUGGCCUCGUUCUAUAGUGUGUUGCGGUUUUUUAGUCCUGGGUCUCUUCUCUUCUAGAACUCGACCUGCCACUCUCCACGCGUACAUUCGUCAUGCACACCGUGUGUUUACAGGAAGGGUUGGUUUGCCGUACACGCCGUUAUGCACAGCUGACAAUUGCUGACGGGCAGACGGUAGGUAGGUGACCCGGAAUGCAGGCCGGAAAUGAGCGGGCAUGGGUAACGUGGUCGGACAAAUGUUUGCUGUUCGUUUCCGGAUAACCAGCACAAGCUAGUGUAAACCACAAGCGGGGCAAGCGAUUCGAUUGGUACGAUCCGGCGUGUUGCUGCUUUCGAGAUCUACAAAAUAGGAGCAAGUAACCAACAGCACAGAGACCAGAGUAUGGGGCCAUGUAAAACAAUCCUCUGCCUCGAGCAUGUGGUGGAUGACCCACCGUGUUAAACAAUCCUGUCUCGCAUGACAGGGGAAUGUUAAAGCAGUCCUGCAACGCUCCUGCCACGUGGUAGAUGAUUAAACAAAAUACACAGGUCGUUGUCUCUAUCUCUGACGGAGUACCAAUUUUGCUUAAUAAUGUCCACCGAUACUUAUCUCUCAGUGUGCUAAGGUUGCUUAAUCUCAUCCACCAAGGUUUGGCUUAAAUUUGAAUUGGUUGCCUUUUGGCGAUUCCAUCAUUAAGCUUAACAUUAUCUCUUUUAUUUUAGGUGAGCUUAACAUGAUCUAAGGGCGCUCCAAAUGCAGAUACGAGCUUUCUGAAUCACGAGUUACUAUUAGAAAAAAAAAGACAUAUCAGUUUCAUGGGCCGGCCCUAACCGUAGCAUCGGGGGUCGCGGCCCCCCUGGAUGAACUGGGUCGCACGGCCUGCCUCGCGGUCGUUGCCUCACUUCCAAGGCCCAUCAGGACACUGUUUCAGAAGGAAAAGGAAAGUGCACGAUGAAUCAUCAUCUUCCCCAAAGCUCCAGAGUCCAGUGCAGUCCUCAAGCCGCCGCGACGAGAAAGAUGGCGGCCAUCUCGAACACGUCGAGCAAGAGGUUCGAUCGCUCCGCCUACUUGCCGCCCCCAUCUGCCCCUCGCAACUGCUAAUUUACUGGACCUUCGAGAAAAUUCCUCAUCUGUGUCGCACUAAUAUACAUGCGUAACGUAGGAUCGCUCUGGUUACCGGAGGGAACAAAGGGGUCGGGCUGGAGACGUGCCGGAAGCUCGCGUCUAGAGGGCUCAAGGUCGUGCUGACGGCGAGGAACGAGGCGAGGGGUCUGGAGGCGGUCGACGGCAUCAGGCGCUCCGGUGGUCCCGGCCAACCCGAUGUUAUCUUCCAUCAGUUGGAUGUCACCGACACUUCCAGCAUCGAUCGGCUGGCGGAUUUCGUCAGGGAUCAAUUCGGAAGGCUCGAUAUCCUGGUAUGGAUUCCCCUGUUUUGCUCUUUGAGGUUUUGCGCCGCGCAGAUUUGGGCUGAAGCAAGUGGGGAUGCAUACUGUUCCACUGAGAGCUUGUCAGAGUUAUGUAUUUAUUCAGACUCUUAAGUAGAAAUUGAACUUGCUAAACUUACAUAUAACGGUGGACACAUUUUUUUUUUUGGAAAGCACAGGUGAACUCAGUAAAUCUCUACAUUUUAGGGAGUACUAGUUAAAGCCGAGAUGAUGUUUUUACAGGUCUUGUAAGCUCUGCUGUGGAUACUCGAAACUCAUAAACUAAGAUGUGUUGGCUACUGAUUCCCGACCACAAAAACAUAGCAUUGCAUGUAUUAAUUUAUUUAUGUCUCUUGUAUAUGCAUCGGUGUUUGUAAUGCCUCACCUUGAUUGUGUUUUUUUUUUGUAGAUAAACAAUGCCGGCAUUUCAGGUGUUGACCGAGAUCCAGUUCUAGUUGCCAAAGUUAAGGAACAGGUAACUAAAGCGAACUGUUAUCAUGUCCUCAUUUGCAGUUUGUCAGCAGUUAAUAUCUACUUCUAUUUCAUAAUCAGGCAAAGUCAACAAAAUAAGAGUUGUUUCUGUAGUUGUUUGUUGCUAUCCAUCAAUCGCAGCAUAGACAUAAGAUCAUCAUUGUUUAACUGUACUGCCUACUGGAGCAUAGUUUAGUACAGGAAAACACAUCAUACUGAUGUCGUGGUACAGGAUGAACUUAAAGUUCGGAUUGUUAGAAAUCAAUUGUUGAAGUUGAAAAUCCUGAAAUUUUGCAUCGCAGACACCAUGUUUCUAUAGUGAAUUAUGUUUUGGAUGUUUUUCUUAGUGUUUUCUUCCUUUAAAAGACAUUACUAUUUUAAUGAUGUCCACAUUGCAUACUGAAGUACAUUAAUAUAUUUCCGAAUCAAACUAGGUAAAUAAGAUGUAUGGGUGCAAGUGGGUCGUCAUGGGCCCAACAAUUUUCUUUUUAAUGAAAUACCUACUCCCAGUUCCAACUCGACCAAAUUUCUGGAUCUGUCCCUGCUAACUCGGCUUCUAAUUUUAUCGGUGGUUUACUUGUGUACACUGAUUUGAACUUUUACAAAUGAACUAGGAUGGGUCUAUGGGUUCUCCUGACAUAACCCACUUGCAUCUCUAAUAAGAAGCUGCAAAACAAACAAUUAACUGUCUAUGUAUGGAUAGGUUGAAAGCAUGGAUGUAAAUCAGAGAGUUCAAUGGAUGAAAGAAAAUUCAAAGGAGACAUAUGAAGAGGCAAAAGAGUGUAUGAGAACGAACUACUAUGGGCCAAAGCUUGUCACCGAGGCACUACUUCCUCUUCUUCAGUUGUCCUCCUCUGGGAGAAUUGUCAAUGUCUCAUCAGGCUUUGGUCUGCUACGAGUAAGUAUUGCUAACGACCCUGCAAGUCGGCAGGACAAAUUAUAUUUAACUUUAUUUAUGCCAAAAUAUUUCUACAACCACAAAAUUGAUUUUAUUUUUAUUUCUUGAGAAGUGUAUAUGCGGUUUGCAGCGGUUCAUUAUGCUUUUCCAGUAAUUAUUUGGCAACAUAUCUUGUGCAAGCCUUCAUUCGGUGCAAACUUGCAGACUAUCUUCGUGAACUAUCAAAUCUAAAACGUGCGGUUCAGAUCAAAGGUGGGACUCAUAAUACCCACUUAAACAUGUUUUUCACAUAACCCCCUGUACUUAACCCACGUUGUCUUAUCUUUGAUUCCCACCUCUCAUCUGGACCGCACAUCGUAGAUCCUAUGGCUCGGGACGAAAGUUUGCAAGUUUUCACUGGAUGAAGGUUUGCACUUGAUACAUUGCCAUAUUGUUUCCUUCCUGUUGAGUGGAUUUUCAGGAUAAGACAUUUCUGUUUGCAUACAUGAUCGUAUGUCGGUAUAACUUGUUUCAUCAGAUACAGUAAACAUGUGAGAUGUGACUGCAUAUAUUGAAGGAGACUGUCUAUACUAUUACAUUCAAUGAUAUUACUACACUGACUAUGUUCUACACCAAAUACAAUCAUAUAUAUUUUAGGAGAGUGCAUAUACUGUAACUCAUUUUGCCAAAUGCUACUUCAUUCAAAUUUUCUGUGAUUCUGUGAUAUGAAUGUUCAUAUUGUUAGAGCUCACAUCUUUGAUCCUCCUCGCACAUUAUUUUUCUUGUGAGAAAGCAUAGUAGUUCAGAUUACAGAAACUUAGGCAACCAGUUCUUUUUAGUUGAUAUCUACUGUUUUGCUUGAGCAGAACUUUAACAGUGAAGAACUUAAGAAGGAACUCAAUGACAUUGACAACCUUACUGAAAAAAGACUGGAUGAGCUGUUGGAUUUGUUCCUAGAAGAUUUCAAGGCCAACUUAAUAGAGGCACAUGGAUGGCCAACGGGUGGCUCUUCAGCCUACAAAGUUGCCAAAGCUGCCCUCAAUGCAUACACUAGGAUUCUAGCCAAGAAGUUCCCUACAAUGCGCAUCAACUGUUUAACACCUGGUUAUGUGAAGACUGACAUUUCAAUGCACAUGGGAGUAUUGACACCUGAGGAGGGCGCUAGCAACCCUGUGAAGGUUUCUCUCUUGCCUGACGAUGGCCCAACUGGUGCUUAUUUUGAUAGGGAUGGUGAGGCGUCUUUUGUGUGAUCGCGCCAUGCCUUCUACGUUGUCUCCCAUUCUCACUUUCAGAAUGAGAGCCAUCAAGAGAUAUAUACUGUAAUAGUUGUCAAUAAGCAAUGUAGUUUGACCUUUGCUCAAUUCGACGUGCGGAAGAUAAGAACAGUUUGACCGUAUUGCUGUAAUAAUAGCUUCUCCACUUUUGUUAUAAAAAAACAGAAAAAGUGGGGGAACCCAGUUGCCAUGUUUCCGUGAAACGAAUGCUACACAUAGGAAAAUAGAAAAAAUUCACAAGGACUUGUCCUUUUUGGAUAAAAAGCAAUAAAACAUAGAAAACAGAAGAACAUAGAAUUGUCCAAGUUUAUUACUAUGGAAAAAAGAGGUUAUAGUUAAUGUUUAUUUUUCUCGAAAAACAUAGGAACUCAAUAAAAUUUGUAAGAAUCACUUUGCUUGUUCCCUACAAAACGAAUGCACCUAGAGUGAAUUUUCUUACGUAAUUUUAAUUCCUUUGUAUUUUGUAUAAACCCUGUAAAAAUCCAGAAAACCGAAUGAGCCGGCCCCUUUGAUUCAAAGGAAUUUCAGAGGAUUAUAUUUCCGGGUUAUUUUUUUCUAUACAGAUUGUUUGAUUCACAGGAUUUUAAACGAUUUUUUUUCUAAGGACUACUUUGCAUGCAUAUCAAAAGAAAAGUUUCCAUGAUGUCUAACUUCAAGGAAAAUUUUCUUUGUAUUUAUGAGAACUAUAGCUAGCAGCCAGUCCAUCAAAUAAGUCUUUUUUUUCUUUGGCGCAAGCAAACGACUUUCAUUGUAUAUUCCCAUGUUUUGGAUUCCUGUAUAAUUCAACAUGGCCUGCCAUUCAAUUCCUGCAAUUUUUCUACUCUUUUUUUCAAUCCUACAAAUUAAAAAGACACUACUCCUUCCCUUUCAAAAUAAGUGAUGUGGAUUUGUAUAAGAAUAUAUACAAAUCCAUCCAAGUCAGUUAUUUUGGGAUGGAGGGAGUACUGUCUAAUAAGUUGGUUUCUUUGCCUUGUUAGUAGCACUCUAAAAAUACUCAUAGUUUAUUAUACUUGGUCUCACUUCAUCACUCUCAUCAAAUAUUGAUUCGUUUAAAUAACGCUGAAUCACCUCGUUGGAGAUUCACAAAGCCCGAUACCGACCGUCUGAAUCCAAACAAUCCAAACCCGAAGCCGUAAAACCCGAAGCCCAAAACCAAACAGAAUUUUCAGGUGUCUUGUUUUAAUUUUCGGUACCCGAAUGGGCCAAAUAUCCCGAGAAAAAAGAGCAUUCAUACGAUUUUGGCCCGAACUCAACUCCCCAGUUAAAACCUUAGCUCAACCCAACACAACUACUCUAGUCUCCCUUGACUCCACCAGUGCAGUCCCCAAGACCCCAACUGCCGCGAGAAGAAAGAUGGCGGCCAUCUCGAACCCGUCGAGCAAGAGGUUCGAUCGCUCUUCUGCCCUAUGCAAACUAAUUUACUGGCUCUUCGAAAAAUUUCUCAUCUAUGCCGCACACCUGUGCGUAGCGUAGGAUCGCUCUGGUUACUGGAGGGAACAAAGGGAUCGGGCUGGAGACGUGCCGGCAGCUCGCGUCUAGAGGGCUCAAGGUCGUGCUGACGGCGAGGAACGAGGCGAGGGGCCUGGAGGCGGUCGACGGCAUCAGGCGCUCCGGUGGCGCCGGUCAACCCGAUGUUGUCUUCCAUCAGUUGGAUGUCACCGACCCUUCCAGCAUCGACCGGCUGGCGGAUUUCGUCAGGGAUCAAUUCGGAAGGCUCGAUAUCCUGGUAUGGAUUCCCCUGCUUUGCUCUUUGAGGUUUUGAGAAACGCUGAUUUUAGCUGAAGCAAGUGGGAAUGUAUACUGUUCAGCAGAUAGACUCUUAUGUGCAAGAACUUGCUAAAAUUCAAUGGAAUAUAAGUAACUACAUACACUACAUAAUUAAAGAGAACGUUGUACUACCAUCUAUUGUCUUAUAUAUCAUAUAUUUUUUCUAAUUUCACUUGUUUGUACAAGAUCAACAACUGAUGGUUUCGAAGGUAUGAUGGAUCACCGCCACCAAUUGAGCCUUUUAUAAAAGUAAAGAUAAAGAUAAACAGGUUUCUUUUUUGCCGAAAGAACAGGUGAACCCAGUAAAAUUCUUGCUCCUACCAGGCUUAUACUAGUUGAAGUUGAGGUGACACUUUUACAAGUCUUGUAAGCUCUGCUGUUGAUAUUCAAUAGUGCAGAUGUUUCAACUAUUGAUUUCGGGUCCCCAAAACAAAGCAUGGCAUAUUAAUUUAUCUGUGUCUCUUGUAGAUUUGUUUUAGACAAUGAUGUCUCGUAUAUGCAUUGGUGUUUGUGUACAAGUGAUUUUUCUGCAGUCUUUGUAACGCAUCACUCUGAUUAUGUGACUUGUUAUUUGUAGAUAAACAACGCAGGCAUUUCAGGUGUUGACCGAGAUCCAGUUCUGUUUGCCAAAUUUAAGGAACAGGUAAGUAAAGUGAACUAUUAUCAUGUCCUCAUUUGCAGUUUGUCAGCAGUUAAAUCUACCUCUAUUUCAUAAUCAGGCAAACUUAACAAAAUAGUAAUCGCAUAUUUCUGUUCUUUUUCCAAGGGCCAUAUUUCUGUAGUUAUGUGUUGCCAUAUAUCAAUCACAUCAUAGACAAAAAAUUAUCAUUGUUGAACUAUACUGCCUACUGUAGCAUAGUUUAGUACAGGAAAACACUUCAUGCUGAUCUCGUGAUACAGGAUGAACAUUUUUUUUUGAAGAGAAUACAGGAUGAACAUAAAAGUUUGGAUAGUAAGAAAUCUUUCGUUGAAGUUGACAAUCCUGAAAUUGUGCAUGGCAGGCACCUUUUUGAAGAAAACACGGCAGGCACCUUGUUUCUAUAGUGAUUUAUGUGUUGAAUGUUAUCUUAGUGUUUUGUUCCUUUAAAAACAUUACUAUUUUAAUGAUGUCGACCAUAGUACAUACUGAAGCACAUUAAUAUAUUUCUGAAUCAAACUAGGUAAAUAAGAAGUAUGAGUAUCCGAGGUGUUUUUUCUUGUUACACACUACAUAAACACGAUAUAAUCCUACAAAGGAUCAAUUAAUAACUUAUGGAUCAUCCCUAUUUUUAAUCACAAUUGGGGAAAACACAAGAUCUUACGUGCGCCGACGAUCAUAUCAGUACUGCAGAGAUCAGAGUAGAGAACAUGCUGGACGCGCUGCAGUUUUGUUUGUGUGUUCUUCAGGCGAGCAGGUGACAAUCCGAUGCAUCAAUGCUUACCUGCCUCGUUGGUUAACAAGCAGCCAAGGAGAAUUCACAAAGGCCCAAGUGACCUAGUGCUGAAGUAAUCAUGAGGCAUAGCUUUGAAACUGAGGACGUGAGAGGCUAGGAAUAGAUCAGAAUUUCUUCUUUUCUUAUGUGGUACACGUAUAUGGACAUAUACACUGUUUUUUGUUUGGAAAAAAACAUGGGUAUGUCUUGCAUACCCAGGCAUUACUCUAGCUCCGCCCCUGUGUAAGUUGGUCAUUAUCGGGCCACGUCACUUGGCUUCUAGUCGUAUCGGUGGUUCACUUGUGUACACUGAUUUGAACUCUUACAAAUGAACAAGGAUGAAUUGAUUGGUCGGUCUGACCCAACCCACUUACAUCUCGCAUAAGAAGUUCUAGAACAACAAUUAACUGUAUGUAUGGAUAGGUCGAAAGCAUGGAUGUAGAUCAGAGAGUUCAAUGUAUGAAAGAAAAUUCGAAGGAGACAUAUGAAGAAGCAAAAGAGUGUAUGAGAACGAACUACUAUGGGGCAAAGCUUGUCACCGAGGCACUACUUCCUCUUCUUCAGUUGUCCUCCUCUGGAAGAAUUGUCAAUGUCUCAUCUGGCUUUGGACUGCUAAGAGUAAGUAUUGCUAUCCACCCUGCAAGUCGGUAGGACAAAUUAUAUUUAACAUUAUUUAUGCUAAAAUAGUUUCCGCAAUAGCAUUAUUGAUUUAUUUUUUUGAGUUUUGAAAAAUUUAUAUACAGUAUGGAGCCUUGCAAUAUGCUUCACCGGUAAUAUUAUUUUCUUCCUGCUGAAUGGAUUUUUUUGACGGGCAAGCAGGUUUACUGCGAUUCAUUAAGAAGAGGGAAAACUGUACAAUGUAGAGAAAUACAAAAUUAAGAAAAAAACAGAGGCCGGAUACGGUGGCCACCCUAGUAAAAGCAGCUACUCCUUUCUUGCCUCACUGUAGAGGCUUAAGUCGUUCUUAAUCAAAACAAUCACUCCUUCUGCAGAGAGCGCUUCCUUUUGGAAGAUUCGCCAGUUUCUUUCUUUCCAAAUGUUCCAAAUUGUGUAAGAUGCCACUGUUAAGUCAAAGUGCAUUUCCUUUUGAUUUCCAAAAUUGGUAACACGUCUCUACCAUUUUUUCAAAGAGGGGGCCUGUUGAAUGGAUUUUCAGGAUAAGGCAUUUCGAUUUGCAUACAUGUUCUUAUUUCGCUGUAACUCAUUUCAUCAGAUGCAGUAAACAUGUGACUGUGAGAAGUGUUGCAUGUACUGAAAGGGGAGUGUCUAUACUUUCACAUUCAAUGAUAUUCCUACACUGACUAUGUUCUACCCCAAAUACAAUCAUAUAUACUGUAGGAGAGUGCAUAUGCUGUAACUCAUUUUGCCAGAUGCAAAUUCAUUAUUAUUUUCCGUAAUAAGAAUGUUCGUGUUGUUAGAGCCCACAUCCUCGAUCCUCCUCACGCGUUAUUUUUCUUGUCAGAAAGCAUAGCGGUUCAGAUUAAAGAAACUUAGGCAGCCUACUGGUUCUUUUUAGUUGACAUGUACUGUUUUCUUGAGCAGAACUUCAACAAUGAAGAACUUAAGAAGGAAUUCAAUGACAUUGACAACCUUGCUGAAAAAAGACUGGAUGAGCUGUUGGAUUUGUUUCUGGAAGAUUUCAAGGCCAACUUAAUAGAGGCACAUGGAUGGCCAACGGGUGGCUCUUCAGCCUACAAAGUGGUCAAAGCUGCCCUCAACGCAUACACUAGGAUUCUAGCCAAGAAGUUCCCUACAAUGCGCAUCAACAGUUUGACUCCUGGUUAUGUCAAGACUGACAUGUCAAUGCACAUGGGAGUAUUGACACCUGAGGAGGGUGCUAGCAACGUUGUAAUGGUUUCUCUCUUGCCUGACGAUGGCCCAACUGGUGCUUAUUUUGAUAGGGAUGGUGAGGCGUCUUUUGUGUGACCGCGCCGUACCUUUUACGCGGUCUUCCGCUCUUACUUUCAGAACGGGACUGACAGAUUUAUACUGUAAUAUUUGUCAUUAAACAAUGUAAGUUUGACCUUUGCUCAAAUCGACAUGCUGGAGAUGGAAAUAGUAUAACUUUACUCUGAGUUUCUCAACUUUUUGUGUCAUCUUUCUGGAAAUGAUUGCAGUGACGUUAAAUGUGCUCUGAAGAAUGCUUCACAUGUUUCUUGCUUUCGUAGCCACGGGCGUGGCGUCACUGGUUAUGUCAGCGCGUGAUGACCUGUGCCGGGCGACCGUCGACCAGCAACACAAGGGGGACCGAGAUACCACCGGAGCAGUUACAAGUAUCCCUCUUUCCUCCCUCCCAUAAUCUAUCUGAUUUUGAGCCACGCUGGUAGCCCUCCUCUGCCACCGUGUUGCUCGAGCUCCUGGUGCACCCAGCAUGGAAGGAGCCAUCUCCAAGCCGCCAUACACGAGGUUCGAUCGCCUCUGCAUGCUUAAUUAGCUCUUGACGUCGCCGUUUAGUCUCGUUAAGAAUCUCGACUCUAGUGAUACAUGUUGUAGUACUAUCUUGUAUGUACUGCUCUGAUCAUUGCCGUUAAUUUGUAGGAGGAUUGCCGUCGUCACCGGCGGGAACAAGGGAAUUGGUCUCGAGGUGUGCCGGCAACUGGCCAGCGACGGCGUCACGGUAGUUUUGACGGCCCGGGACGAGAAGAGGGGCGCGGAUGCCGUGGAGAAGCUCAAAGCGCUGGGGCUCUGCGACAUCCUGUUCCAUCAGCUGGAGAUCACGGACUCUUCGAGCAUUGCUGCACUGGCCGAUUUUCUCAAGACUCGUUUUGGGAGGCUAGACAUUCUGGCAAGUUUUCGUUUCCCUGUCUACGCCUCCUAGGUGCGUCCAAGGAUUGAUGAACAGGUUGAUAGAUACACUCUGUUAUCUUGCAGGUGAAUAAUGCCGCAGUCAGUGGGGUUGAGCACGUCCAAGAAGUCGAUACCAACGAGGAAAAGGUGAGCUCACGAAGUCAGAGGAUCCACGUUAACCUGAUGCGGAAACAUCAUCCUGACAAAAUGCUUAGAGACGCGUCAAACUAAACAAGUUUAUUUUAUGAUGCGUGCAACAGUUUAAUGGCAUGGAUCUCAACCAGAGGCUUGAAUGGGUGCUGAAAAACAUCCGGGAUACCGUCGACGGCGCGAAGAAAAGUAUCCAGACAAACUACUACGGUACGAAGCAUGUAAUCGAUACGUUGCUACCUCUGUUGCAAUCUUCUAACGGGGGAAGAAUUGCGAAUGUCACCUCCGCCUAUGGACUCCUAAGGGUAAGUUUUUUCCUUCCUCCACUGGUCAUGGAAUCCCAAAUCCCAGUAGACCAGUACUACCAUAUUCAAGGGAUUUUCUUCUAUGCGCAGCGUAUCAACAACGAGGAGAUCAGGCAGGAGCUUGACGACAUCGAAAAUCUGACCGAGGAGAGGCUGGACGAGCUCCUGGGCAAGUUUCUGAAAGACUUCGAGGCCGACGCGCUAGAGAUGCACGGGUGGCCCGUAGGGCUCGCGGCGUACAAGGUGGCCAAGGCCGCCAUGAACGCCUACUCGAGGAUCUUGGCGAGGAGGAACCGCGCGCUGCGCAUCAACUGCGUGCACCCGGGCUACGUGAAGACCGACAUGUCCAUGAGCUCGGGGGUGUUGACACCCGAGGAGGGCGCGCGUAGCGUCGUGAACGUGGCGCUGCUUCCUGAUGGCGGGCCCACCGGCGCGUACUUCGCCAUGGGUCAGGAGGCGUCAUUCGUGUGAGGUCGACACUGGGCCCAUACAUGCAUGGCCCGUUGGCCCGAUGACCCCCAGCUGGUUCGCCGCUCACUGUAUGGUUGAUCAUAAAUGCUGGUUUGAGAUCCCCCUAAAAAAAAAAGUGCUGGUUUGAGGUUGAGAAUAAGAAGUGGGAUUGGAGUUGUUCUUGUUUGAAUUAAUACGGUAUAUGUUUUUUUAGAGAACGGAAAAUACUUUGUGUCUCGAGGCAUUGAUUAAGAGAAACAAAAGGAUUGAUACAACUUAAUUCAUGAUUACUACACUACACGACUACGCUAAUGUCCCAACCGCCCUAGCACUAGCCCAAAACUGAACAUCAGCCUAGAUCAGUUGGGUGAGUGAAGAGAUAUUGGAAGUCGCAUUGUCACAGCUAGGUUCGUCGGGAUCCUUCCAGAUCCACCGGACCGUGAGCAUGAUGAGAAGCAAUGUCCUUGUGAGCCGAGGAAGGGGUGGAACUGAAUGCCGCCUGCCACCAGUCUGCGAAGAGGACAUCUACGGUCGGCGGGAUACCGUGAGAAUAAAGUACCUCAUGCCACAACCCUCUGUGAGAAGGAGCAAACCAACCAAGAGGUAUUCCUUGUUAGUAGGUACAGUAAUACGCUUUACUCACUCCUCCUAAAUAUACAGAAUACUCCCUCUAUUCCUAUUAAUUGGCCACAUAAAUUUCACAAAAAAACCUUGCUAUUUUUCGAAAUCAAGCUGCACUCCAUGUUCUACUGGAUUUUUUGCAAAAAAAAAAACCUAUAGUUUUUUCAAAUCAACACGCAGUCCCCGUUUAAUUGAAGAUGUGUACUGCAGGUUGAUUUCAUAAAUUAAUUGGGAACGGAGGAAAUAUAUAAGAUCAAUGAUAGGAUACACCUUGUUUAUUUACAAUUCAUGAACUUAUAUUAAAGUAAUUUAGUACUCCGUAUAUCCAGUUAUUAGAGACGAGCGGUCAGUAAAUAUGGUUACUAGAGGCAAUAAAAAAAUACCAACCCAUAACCAAAACUCUAGACACAAAUAGGGUCCUUAGGGCAUCUCACCGAGCAGGUAUUUAGAGUCUUUUUCUUACUUUUUGGCUGAGGUGGAACAAAAAGGUGAAGAGUGGUAUGCUGCAGAAGUAACAACCUUGACACAAGGAUCAAGAAUAUGAGAAGAUAAUUUAAUGAAGAAAUGGGUCCAAACUGAAAAAAUUACUUUGAUAAAUGAUUGAUCCAAGAGGGAGAAAAAAGAGAAGGAAAGAGAGAAACUAAGUACCGGUACUUUGCUGUUGAGGAUGCCCUCAGGAGAUCACGGCCACGAUCCAGCGCCUCUCCACCAGGCGUUGUCGACGAGCUUGGAGAUUUCCACCAAGGACCUGUUUCCAUCUCAUCAGCAUGCAUUGAUGCAUGACAACCCAGCACCGAUCACCCACCGGUCUGGGUCCUGCCGCCGUUUUAGUGCCGGAAGUGAGCGAUCCUGACACGGCGCUUCUGUCAAGUAGCCAUCUCGGCCAGUUCACGUUAUCCAUUACAUCCUCUACAAGUUUCUCUUUCUUUCCUUCGGGCCCCCUUUCCUUCUUCCCAUUUCCGAUCUGAUUUUGAGAGAGCCAUCUCACUCGUGGUGCACCAAUCAUGGAAGGAUCCAUCUCCAACCCACCAGACACGAGGUUAGCCGUCCCGCUGGGCGCUGGCCUCCCUUCCCUGGUAUAAAUGUAUCUUUGUACGAACUGCUCUGAUCUCCUCGCGCUGGUACCGUAGUAUCGCCGUCGUCACCGGCGGCAACAAGGGGAUCGGUUUCGAGGUGUGCCGGCAACUGGCCGGCGGCGGCUUCACGGUCGUUCUGACGGCCCGAGACGAGACGAGAGGCGCAGAGGCCGUCGAGAAGCUCAAGGCGCUCGGGCUCUCCGGCGUCGUCUUCCAUCAGCUGGAUAUCACGGACGCUUCCAGCGUUGCUACCCUGGCCGAUUCCUUGAAGGCCCGUUUUGGGAGGCUGGACACUCUGGCAAGUUCCCGUUUCCCUCUGUGCUCCUGCUAGCUGCAUCCAAGGCGUGUUUGCUCGAUGCAAUCGGCAAUUGAUAGGAUGAUAGAUGUACUCUGUUAAUUCGCAGGUGAAUAAUGCCGCGGUUACUGGGGUUGAGCACGUCAUCGAUAGCACCAACGAGGAAAAGGUGAGGUCAGGUUGAGUUUGCUAGGGACUAGUAAUACGUUACCUUCCUUUUCGAAAAAAAAAAAGGGGACUAGCACUACGUACGUGGCUCUGUUCUGAAAUUGCUCGGAGACGCGCCGAACUGAACAUGUUUAUUGUUGAUGCGUGCGCAACAGUUCAGUGGCCUGGAUCCCUACCAGAGGCUUGAGUGGAUGCUGAAUCAUAUCAAGGAGACCAUCGACGGUGCAACGAAAAGCGUGCAGACAAACUACUACGGCACGAAGAAUGUGACCCAAGCCCUGCUGCCUCUCCUGCAAUCUUCCUCCGCGGGACGAAUAGUGAAUGUUUCCUCCGACUCUGGACUGCUAAGGGUAAUUAGGUUCGUUUCACUGAUCAUGCUAUCCCGGCCAGUAUUAAACCCAAGGAUUUUCGGCUCCGUAUAUGCAGCUUAUCAGCAACCAGGAGGUGAGGAUGGAGCUCGACGACAUUGGCAACCUGACCGAGGAGAGGCUGGACGAGCUGCUGGGCAAGUUCCUGAAGGAUUUCGAGGCCGGAGCGCUGGAGGCGCACGGGUGGCCCACGGGGUCCGCGGCGUACAAAGUGUCCAAAGCCGCCAUGAACGCGUAUUCGAGGAUCUUGGCAAGGACGCACCCCGCGCUGCGCGUCAACUGUGCGAGCCCAGGGUAUGUCAUGACCGACAUGACCAGGAAUUCCGGUGUGCUGACGCCCGAGGAGGGCGCGCGCAAUGUCGUCGCGGUGGCGCUGCUGCCGGACGGCGGGCCGACCGGCGCAUACUUCACCGAGGGUCUGGAGGCGUCGUUCGUGUGAGAUAUCGGCCAUACGUGCACGGCCCGAUGAUGAGAAUAAGAGAUCAUCGAAGAUGGACAUAAGGAUAUACGGAGUACUUAUUAAUUUCCGAUGACGAAUGAUCGAAACCGUAUUGUUCUUGUCCGAAUGAACAAGCUAGCAUGCUGGUGAUCAGGGCAGUGCGGCGACUCGCGUCCACCACUCUUCAGUUUAAUUCUCCACCUACGGACGCUUAAAUACCUACACCAACUAGUUAAGCGCCCAGUAAUCGUGCAUCAGUGGAGGUCGACUGUCGGGCGUUGCGCUCGUGACCUAAAUACCCCGGUUCUGUCCAUGGCAGAAUGACAUGUCACGUGGAUUCGCAUCUAUGAUCUUUCAUCUUUGAAUUGGCUUCAGAUUUCUCCUCAACAUCAUACAUCAUGUGCUUCUUCUUCUUCACGAGCUGAAGAACGUGUUUGGAAGUGGUUUGUUUUGGGAAAAACAGAUUUUUUUGGGGAAAUUAAAAGGGAGUAAAUGACUUGAACCUUUUGGAUUUAACUAAACCCAGAUAUAUUUCAAAGUAUUUGAAAAAUUGUAUUUGAGGUUUGUAUAUUUUAUGAAACUCAAAUACCAUAUAGUUUGGGAUUGUUUCCAAAUAUUUAAACAACCUUUGGAAAUUAUUUACAAGUCCCAUUUAAAUUUAAACGACUUUGAAUUCACAUACUUCUAAAUAUUUCGAACUUGCUCAAAAUUAUUUGAUACUUUCACAGUAUGCAGAUAAACUGUUACCAAACCUGCAUCUUAAAUUUCAUAAUUUUUGGAUUUGAUUUGAGCCUCCAAAUGAAUUAAACAAAGUCUGGACCGAAACCAAAAUAGGAGUAUUUCUCUGCACAUGGGACACCCUUUGAUUGCCAGUUUGACCUUUGACUGAGCCCUCUUCACCAUCUCUAUGUCGUGCGGGCCCCGCCAACAUCAGCUCGUCCUCCUCUCCCACGUCAGCUCCGUCCCUUCUCUCCGUAGCGCCCGUUCCCUCUGUCCUGCCGGAAUUGCCGUCGCCGCCGCGGGCCCCGCCGUCCUCGCCGGCACUGCUCGCCACUGCUCUUCCCCCUCGUUUUUAUCGUUCUCCCCGCAGCACCCCCGUCCCCCAUCUAUUUCUUCUCCCUCAUUCCUCUCCUUUCUUCCGAAUCCGCUCUGUUCUCUCUUCUUCUUCCCCACCGAGCCGCCUCCUGCUUUCUCUCCGGUGAGCUCGCCGAGCUCGAACCGCCCUAUUCCGCUCAAUCGACAAGUCCCUAAGAACCUCCGCGUAGCCCCACUCUCUCUCCCGCAUCUCCUGGACGCCGCCGCGCACCAGGGGCGCCGUGUGCCGCUAGUCUUCUCCACCUCCGGCCGGCCACCGCCGUGGCACGCGCCGCCGUUCCAGGGAGCCCCUGACCCCGAAGCCAAGUCUAGAAGAACCGAGGCACCGCGAUGAAGCCGAUUCCGCCUUGUUCUCAACCUCUCGCGCGCCGAGCCGUCCCCGCGUUGGAGCUCCUCCGCCGCCGCGCGAGCUCCUCGUCGCCGGCCUCCUCCAGUGCCGCACCUCCACAUGAGCCGUUGCCAUCCAGUUAUACCUGCCGGUGCGCACUUAGAGAGCGCCCCGGAGCGCCUUCUCGACCACCGGAGCUCCGCCCGCGCCGCCGUCUCCUUCGGCUCCGGCGAGAUCCCGCCGACGCCGCCGUUCGACUCCAUCGGCCAUGGCAUCCCUCUCGAGCCCCUGGUAAGCUCCUCUCCUCUCUUCCUCUCUCCCUCGUAGUCCGACGCUUCCGGCCGUGCCGCGCCGACGAGCUUCGACUCCGCCGGCAGCGCCGCGCCGCGCGCGGUAUGGGCGCGCACCGGGUGCCGCUCCCGUUCCCCGCCUCCCCUCUUUGCCAUGGUGGGCUGCGCCAUGUGAGUACGUGACAGCCCAGGAAAGCGCACUCCUUGCCAGCCCAUUCCCCAGGUAAAGAAAAGAAAAAAAAAAGAAACGGAAAACUGGGCCGAAGCCUAUUACAAAUUCCGAACCGGCCCAGUAGACAAACUGGAUUUCCCUCCUCUCUUAUUAAAUCUCUGACGUGCUUCUAAAAAAAUUCUCUGACGUUGGGCCCUGGUGUCAGUCACUGUUGGCCUGUUUAAUUGGAAAAAUAGGAAAAACUAUUUACAGUAAAUCUGCCAUUGGAUUAAAAUGCAAAUAAUUAUUUGCAGAAAAAUCCUAAAAUGUGUAACAGUGGCAUUGGUUAUAUGAUUUCAUCUAGUUUAUUUUAUUUUAGUAAUUAUUAUAUAAAAAAUUAGUGUAAUGUCUUUGUGAAUUUAUUAAAAAAAAGAACUAAGUGUUUGUAAAUAAGAAAAUGAUUAUUAAAUUAAUAGCCUAAAAAACUAUGAGACUGGUUUUGUUAAACUUGUUUUUGAGCCCCCUUGUACAAAGUGGACUGGUUUUAAGAGUUUUGGGUUAUUGAUUGUAUUUAUGUGAACUGGCACAUAUGGCCGUGCGUUGCUUCGGGUCAAAUACUUUGUUUUUCCCGUGAUCCCUUCUUCCUCCUCGUGUCGUCCUGGCCAAGGAACGAUGCCUUGUUCUGCGGGUUUCCACCCCAGAGAAAGACUUUGACGAGGGUAUAUCUUUGAGACGCCAAUUUGGUAAUAAAAGUUUUACUUGCUGAUAAAUUUUCAUGAAAUAUGUGUCAGGUAGGAAAGAUGCUCCUUUUUGGAAAUAUUAUGUAUAUGGGCUUGUGCAACUUACUCUUUGAGUAAUCAGCCAUAAUUUUUUAUGUUUCCUUUAUAGUUUUUUUAAUAAAUCCAAUGCAGUAAACAAUUAAUAAUCUACUCGAGAAAUGAAGUUACCAAGGCAACAACGACAUAAACAAUCGAAACAAAUAACAGAUAUGCAUAUAGCGCAACACAAACACACAUCUCAUAAAAAAAAUACAUGCAUGAUUCCCCCCUUUUUUUCAAAACCUUAAGCUGAAAACAAUUUUUAGUAGGCUUGAGAAUAUUCGAAAUCCCUUUUUACGAACAAGGGUGUUUAAAAAUUUAAUAGGGUCCUAUUGUUUUAGAAACCUUAACAUGAAACGUCCAAUGAGUCACUGACGGUAUGAAAAAAAGUCAGACGUGAAUCGGGCUAUUUUCGUUUCUGUCAUGGCAUUCAUGACCGACAUGACUCAUGGAUUUCAAUUCUUCUUGCGUGGCCAGAGACAACCUGGAGACAUUGUCUUUUAGAUUUCUAGCUACCGGCCCUGGAAGAUUAUAUAUAUUAAGAAAAUAUAGAGCUAAGUGCAAACCCACGGUCCAUUUACGGAUUACAACAGUAGCAUCUGGGGUAUGUCGUCCGAAGGCGAGUAAACUCGGAUUCUUGCAAGGGUAAUCAUCUGCUAGGAUAUUGCAAUAUUGCAAUCCCCAAACACGAUUUUAUUGACACCAUUACACUAUUGCUAGACACCUAAAUCUGAUUAGAGAUAUUCUAGUGUUGUCAGGCUGUUGAUUUUUGAAUCACUGUGUGUUAAUGCUUGUAUAGAUGCUGAUAAUUAUUUUAUAAAUGAUAAAAAUGUAGAACUUGAUUAAAAAACUAAGAUUGGCUAUGUGUGUAUUAUGAUUGUGACAAACCAUCCACGACCCAUUUUUGCUAGCGGCCGGAGUAGUUCGGCAUAUUCCAAUGGAUCACGUGAAACUCGCCUGAAAAUCGAGACAGUGACCAUAUAGUAUAGUUUAGGAACGGCGGACUGCCAGAGGCCGCAAGAUGCGCUAUUUUUAACAAAAAGAUACCCAAUCAUUCAUCUCUCCCAUACUUAGUUGUCUUCGUGCUUUUUUGACACGUCCUACCUCGUGAUUGUUCUGCAUCUGGAGUUGGAAUAGGCUGCCGCGUCAGCCUCAUUUUCCAUUUCCCCUAUAAUAAACGGCUAUUCCCCUUCAUCCCUUCUCCACUCCAACUCAGGCCGCCGCACGUACCGACGACCCCGUGUUAUAUCGCGAGCUCGAAUUUUUUGGAUCCUGAACUGAGGCUUGUCAAUUUUUCAAUCAGGGCUCGACAACAGCCCGAGUGGAAAGCUUGAUCUGUCAGGUGGAAGUACGCGCAACGUUUUGUAUUCCGACAUUAAAUUUCGUGUUGAAAGGUCAAUUUUUGUGCUCAUGGAAGGAGCCAUUCCCAUUUCCUGGAACACAAGGUACAUACAAACUACAUGCCGUAUCUCCAUGGAUUUUCUUGCCAAGAAAGGCGAAAUGGCCUCUCUAAAAUCUGAACUUCGCAUGUAUUGUUCGAUUGCCGUUGCUAGGAUUGCUGUGGUCACCGGCGGCAGCAAAGGGAUCGGGCUAGAGGUGUGCAAGCAACUGGCAGGCAGCGGCAUCACGGUCGUCCUCACAGCCAGGGAUGAGACGAGGGGGACGGCGGCGGUCGAGCAGAUCGUACGCUUGGGCCACUCAGAUGUGAUUUUCCAUCAGCUAGACAUCACGGAUGCUCUGAGCAUCGCUCGGUUGACUGACUUUCUGAAGGCUCGUUUUGGGAAGCUUGACAUUCUGGCAAGUUUUUAUUCGUCUCCCGGACAAUCUUUAUCUUCACUGUUCAGGAAGAUCGCUUACUACUACAGUACUAUACUAUUGAUUUUUUUCCCGCAAUUUUUUUUUUUGAACUUUUGGUAUGACCAGUGAUUGAUGAACAGUCUGAUUCACAGGUGAAUAAUGCCGCUACUGAUGGGAUUGAGCAAGUACUUGAUCCUGUUUAUGGUUCGAUACCCGGCGACGAAAAGGUAACCAUUUUGACAUGUACUUUACGAGACCUUCAGUUUCGAAAAAAAAGAAAGUGUGAUCAGCCACCAAUAUGUCAUGUCCUCAAUUAAUGGACUAAUUGGUCCAUGUUCUUAAAAAGAAUCCUCAUGCGUUCUGCAACGGCUCGUACGACAACUGAACAAGUUUCCUUCCUCUUUGCGUGCAUGCAACAGUUCGAUGGAAUGGAUGCGUACCAGAGAAUUGAUUGGAUGUGGGCCAAUUGCCGGGAGACUUACGAGACCGCAAAACAGGGCCUGCAGACGAACUACUACGGGACCAAGCGGGUAACAGAAGCUCUCCUGCCCCUGCUCCAAUCCUCCUCAGAUGGAAGGAUCGUCAAUGUCUCCUCCAACUUCGGAUUACUAAGCGUAAGCAUCAUAAUUAAAUCACACUCUAAAAAUUAUUUCACACACACACACACACACAAACAGAAGAUAAAUCCGUAGUAAGAUUUCUCUUUUGCGGCUGCAGCUUUUCCGCAAUGAGGAGCUGAAGCAGGAGCUGAACGACGUCGAACGCCUGACGGAGGAGAGGCUGGACGAGCUGCUGGCCAUAUUCCUCCAAGACUUCGAGGCCGGCGCAGCGGAGGCGCGCGGGUGGCCGGCGGAAUUCUCGGCGUACAAGGUGGCCAAGGCGGCCAUGAACGCGUACUCGAGGAUCUUGGCGAAGAGACACCCGGAGCUGCGCCUCAACUGCGCGCACCCGGGAUACGUAAGGACCGACAUCACCAGGAACUCCGGGAUCCUGACGCCCGAGGAGGGCGCGCGCAACGUCGUGAAGGUGGCGCUGCUGCCGGAAGACGGGCCGACCGGCGUGUACUUCCACGAGGGCCAGGAGGCGUCUUUCGUGUGAUAGUAGCAGUACUGUUCCACCGUCGUGCUAUGUGCUGCCAUAAUCUGCAAGGCAAGAUUGAGAAGAAGCGAGGUCGAGAGUUAUUGUAUUUUGUUACGUGUAAACCUGUCGGAUUGAUCGUCCUGUUACUGCUCGGCCUCGAGUUGGUAUCACACCGGUGAUUUUUUUUAGGGGAUGUUAUCACACCGGGGUUCUUCCUCUCUUCUCCCAUCUAUAGCACCAUGGCCCACAAACCUCAAUGAGCCCACCCAGGCCCCGGCCCAUUUGGCUGGAAAGGCCGAGAUAAAAUUGAAAAGAAGGAUCUACCAUAUAAACCAAAAGAAAA